UCACUGUUAACUUCUAACGCAUAUGAACUCAAUGUGACAUAAUACAUAUUUCAAUCAAACUAGCGAUCUAGAAAUGCACAAGAGCCCUAUAAACCCAGAGAAUAGGGCCACAACUCCAAAAUAGGGCCACAACUUCAAACAUCAACCACUAAAUCAUGGUCAGUCCAUGUUCAAACACAAUAGUCCAAUCACAGUCAGUCAGAGUUCAUUAACCAGGACAACAUUACAUAAUCCAUAAUCGACCACAAUGUAAAAAAUCUCAUGACGGCCACAGAAAUUAGGCAGCCAUCGUUCACGGACUAUCGCAUCUUACGGAAAAUGCUGAAACAUCUUUAAGCAGAAGGAAAAAAAAUUCCACAUAAAACAACAUACACAAGCACAAGAAUCCAUAGGCUACGCGGAAAUUUGACCACCACAGCUCUUGUCAUCUACCCUUAACACGCCAUCUCCUUUUGAUUCUCCGGGUGAGGCAAUUAUUUACAGCUAGCGACAUUUUAUGGCGGCAGGAGGACCGAAAACUUUCCAUAUGAAUGAAGCCGAUCAAAGGAACUCCAGCCACUGGGUAAUCAGGGUUGAACACGAUAGCCUCUUGGUGCAUUAGAUCAUUUCAUUUGUUCUUCCAACAACGCAUGCUGCUCGAAGUCGAAGUUGAAGGGCAUUGUGCAGACUGGCUCAUCACGAUGUCAUGCAGUGAUGCCAAGUAAAGAUGCGCAAGCGCGCCUUCAACCGGCCAAAAGAAGGGAAAAAUCAGUAGCAUGGAAGGAUAUUGGAGACGGACAUUUUGCUAGUCAAAAAUAUCGACCGUCAACAAUAGAAACACCACCCAACAGGCAACAAUACUGGAAAUAACUUCCACGUGGGCACGUUGACUUGUCUUCUUCUUCCUCGUUCCUCAUUUCCUCUCUUUGGCGAUGGAUACAUCCUCUUCAUUUUCCACCUGGCUGACACUUGCAGUGGCUGCCGCAGGGGAACCCCAAAAGCAUGAGCACACCAUGAACGCUAACAUCGACCCGGAUAGGAUGGUGGAGGUAGUUGCGCCGUCGCCGGCCAAGCCGUGCUGACUACGGCCGGCCUCCAGCUUGUUGCUCCAGUACCAGAGAUGGUCAUGACCCCACGUGUCAUUGUGUGUAGAAAUAUUUUUAGGAAGCUAAGUUUCGGAGAAAGGACUCGGUGCAAGGAUGUUUAACUUCCGGAAAUGUGCGGAGGUGGUAUGAAGAGUUAAAUUUUGAAGAAAGGACUACCGGAGAAGCCGACGCCAGCCUGCUGCAGCGUGGCUGGCUGGGCUUAGCGGGCCUGUUUCGGGCCUGGCCGGGCCAGGGGUGGUCUGGUAUGCCCUGUUGCCGUGUCCGGACGGUGACCGCAACUGUGUCGGAGGCGCGGGCCUCUUGCACGACGGCGGUGGAGGUGGUUCGCUCCCGCUCAGCCUUGGUGCUGUUGCUCCCGUCGCUUGGCACUUCUCUCCGGUCUUCUUGGUCUCGUGUUGGUGCUUACGCUGAGACAGCGUGGGAGGCGGCGCAACCGCGAUGGCACAUGGUGUUGGGUGGUGGUUUGGCUGCAGUGGCGGAGCUUGCCAAAAAAAGCUGGGCGGGCUGAAUGGGCCAGGCUGCAAGGAAUUACUACUAGCUGGCAUUCUACAACCCAUUGGCUAGCUAUAUUGUGAGAAAAAGCUGCAGAGCUGGGCGGGCCAUGGCCCAUUUGGCCUUGCCUAAGCUCCGUCAGUGUUUGGCUGGUCGGCUCUGGUUGGGUAGUGGGGUUUGGAGUGCAGGAGAAAUCCUUGCCGGUUCGUCCGACUCCGAUGCGGUGACACCGACGGGUGCCACCAUUCCUUCCUGGAGGGUGUCGGUGGUAGCCAUACUCCACUUCCCUCCGCGUGUCAGGGGAAGUCUUAGGACUCGUCCGGGCAGCAGCGUCGUCGGCGUCGCAUUCCUUCUUGAAGAUGUUGCUUGGUAAGCGGCAGAUCGGAGCCUCGGGCUGUGGUGGUUUGUCUCCGGAGGGCGCAACGGUUGCGGUUCAUCCACGCUUUGUCGAGCUGCCGUUGUUGGCAUUUGUUUCUUCUUUUUCUUUUGGGCUUGAUGUGCUGCUCGCCCCAUCAAUGCUAUGUGUAUGGUGUUUGUUGCUUUGGAACACAAAGCGAGGGAAACCCUUUUUCGGUAAGCUCUAAGGUCUGGUCUUGACAGACUAAAAAAAACAUUUUUGCCUCUCUGUGUCCGUGUGAACAGACCACCAAAUGUGAAAGAGAAGAAGAGCAGUUGGAGGAAACCGAGCAGAAAAGAUCUACUCCUGCCAAACUAUAUUCUAUCUAGAAGAUUACAUACGUAUGAAUUAGUAUACAAUCUCUAACAAUGACUAGAUCUAGAUGCUUGAUGGUCUGGUCUCAACAGAUUAAAACAAUUUUGUCUCUCCAUCUCCAUGUGAACACCUAAUAAUGUGAAAGAGAACAAGAGCAGUUGGAGGAAAGAAUGGAAAAUAAUUCAGAGUGGGCUCCAGCUUACGGCUUAGAUGGGGACUUAAACAUUGCAUGUAUUAUUGCCAGUGGGCCUAAUCAAGCAUUGGAGACGCCUAAUCAAGUACACACCGAGACGAGUUGACCCGAGAGGCACAAAUCACUCCGGCCGGAUCCACAAUACUUGCUGCUUCUCUCUUUCGUCUCCGGCUCUCUGCGGUGACUACUAACGGUUUGCGGCGGCCACAUCGCAAAGGUAUUCUUCCUCCUCUUCUGUUCAAUUAUUUUGUUCCAGCUAGCUCUCUUCUUUUUUACCAUUCUUUGUGGUUUUGAUGUGGAUCCGGGAUGUCCAGAGUUCGGUCUGUUUAACACCCGCUUAGCAGAGGGAAUUGCGAACUUGCGCUCUUGAUCGACCCAAGCAAGGUGAUGCUUUUGCUCAUCAUUGCAGUCGUGUGUGUAGAUCGAGAGCAAGGAUAGGGCCAUCUUUUGCUCGAUCUGUUCCCCCCUCGUCAAUCUCUUGUUGCUCAAGUAGGGGAGCUACAAAGACUUUUGCUUGGUGCAACGCUCAGAGUACAUCUAAAUUGCUAUGUCCAUGGUCAGAUUUUUUUUGUUUACUUUUCCUAAUUUUAGGAAAGCAACACCAAACAAGGCACUUAUCCCAGUUGUAAUAAACAAGCUAAGAUUUAUGAGUAGUGCACUUUGGUCACCAAGAACAUCCCCAAAUUUGACCGAAAGCGAUUUACGUUUACCCUAAUACUAACUACAGUUUCGUCGAAAUCUUGAAAAUCACAUGCAUGGGACUGUGGGAUGCGGUGAUGGACUGGGAAUCUGGGAUACCGAUCACCAGUACAUUGGUAUAUUUUUUGUUGUUGCAAAAAUCAUCGGCGGGCCACAGCCUGGUUCAGCCUCUAUAUAUGCACUAGCUUCACUUGUGGUUGCUACUCCAUUGAUUUGGAAGGUAAUGCAUUUGGGAGCUGUUACUUUCACGAACCAAAAAUAUACAGCUUUUGCUCAUCCUGUGGCUCUUUGAAAGCAAUUAGUAUCUUCGAGCUAUCUCCUCUUCCUCCUCUCUACAACUUUCUUCUUCUGUUUGUAAUGUUUUUUGGUGAUCCUGAUGUGAAUUUAUGAUGUGCAGAACUGGAUCAAUUCUCCACUAGUUCACCUUGGGUAGCUGUUGCAAAGGACUCUGCAAGUUGGAUUUGAGCAGCUCCUUUCAGGGUACCAUUCUUCUAUUUCUGCUUUGGAAAACUAUAAAGGGUGCACUGCAUAUCCGCACAGUAAUCAAUCGGGUUCUGGUUUUGCUCCUUCGGUCUUGUUGUGUGCAUUGCAGAGUUUCAACCCAAGGGCAAGCGAGAGCAGAUACGGAUAAAGGUUGUGAUAUGGAGGUUGCCGCUGGGGCGUUGAGCCCCGUCCUCCGUAAGCUUGGUGAGCUACUCGCCGGAGAAUACAACCUGGAGAAGCGAGUAAAGAAAGGCGUACAAUCGCUCCUAAUAGAGCUGGAGAUGAUGCACGCCAUACUUCGCAAGGUUAGCGAGGUGCCAUCAGACCAACUCGAGGAGCCGGUCCGGAUUUGGGCUGGCAAGGUGAGAGACCUCUCUUGCGACAUGGAAGACGCUGUUGAUGACUUCCUGGUGCGCGUGGAUGAGGGCUCAAGCAGAAAGCCAACGAACAUGAGGAAUCGAGUGAAUAAGUUCCUCAAGAAGACCACCAAACUCUUUGGUAAAGGCAAGGCACUUCAUCAAAUCUGUGAUGCCAUUGAAGAAGCUCAAGAUCUUGCCAAGCAGUUGGCGGACCUGCGUAAAAGAUACGAGCUUGACAUGCAUAGCAGUAGUAAUGGUGCUACCAUUGACCCCCGCGUUUUAGCUCUGCAUAAAGAUGUAGGGGAGCUUGUUGGCGUUGACUACACAAGGGAUGAGCUUAUCAAAACACUGAUUUGUGAGGACGGGAGUUCUAAGGAGCAAUUGAAAACGAUCCCUAUUGUUGGUGUUGGUGGGCUGGGCAAGACAACGCUCACCAAAGCAGUCUAUGAGAAGAUCAAAGCCCAAUUUGAUUGUGUGGCUUUUGUCUCUGUGGGUCAGAACCCAGAUAUCAAGAAAGUUUUCAAGGACUUGCUCUAUGGCCUUGACAAUGGAAAGUUCAGUGACAUUCAUAAUACAACAAGGGAUGAAAAUCUACUCAUCAAGCAAAUCAGUGAUUACCUUGUGGAUAAGAGGUAUGCAUCACGCAGUGCUAGUCCUUUUGCAUAUAUUUUGGAAAUGUGUGAAGUAGUGAGAUAUAUACUGAAGUUCAUAUCUUCAUUUCCUUAUUUGUUAUACUUUUAUAUCUACAGUAGUCUGUUCUUUUUUAGCAAAUUCUACUUCUUUCUGUUUUGCGCACACGCCUUAUUUUUGUUAGUCAUGUAUACUUUUAAGCAAUUUAUGUUGCAUUUCUUAAUAUUUUUGCAUCCAUAUCAUUAGUGGAUAUAUAUGCCUAUGGUUUACUUUAGUACCAGUUUAUCCUUGUUACAAACUUCAGUUGUAUAUAGAUGACUUUCCAACUAAUCAUAUUAAAAUAUUUGUCAUAGGUACCUCAUCGUAAUCGAUGACAUAUGGGAAGAAGAAAUAUGGAGAUUUAUAAAUUGUGCUUUGUAUAAAAACGACCUCCAUAGUCGGGUAAUCACAACAACCCGCAAUGUGUGUGUGUCUGAAGCAUGUCUCUCUUCCAGUGAUGACAUGAUUCACCAAAUGAAACCACUUUCCGAUGAAGACUCACAGAUACUCUUCCAUCGAAGAAUAUUUCAAAGCGAGGAGAAAUGUCCAGAAGAUUUGCAAGCAGUAUCAAGAGAGAUAUUGAAGAAAUGCGGUGGUGUACCAUUAGCCAUUAUUACAAUAGCUAGCCUUCUAGUCAGUAACCAAAGGAUAAAGCAGAAAGAAGAAUGGUUGCAUGUGCACAGUUCGAUGGGCCGUGGAGUUACAGAAGGUGGUAUUGUGAAGGACAUGAAGAGGAUAUUAUCACUCAGCUAUUAUGAUUUGCCUUCGCAUCUAAAGCCUUGUUUGUUAUACCUAAGCAUGUUUCCUGAAGACUCUGAGAUUAAGAGAGAUUGGCUGAUAUGGAGGUGGCUUUCUGAAGGGUUUAUCCAAUGUGAUAAAGAAGAAACCAGGCUGUUUGAGAUCGGAGAGAGCUACUACAAUGAGCUUCUGAACAGGAGCUUGAUCCAGCCAUCAAAAAUCAACGAGGAAGGAACGGUAGUAAGUUGCCGAAUACAUGAUAUGGUGCUUGACCUUAUAUGCUCAUUGUCAAGUGAGGAGAAUUUUAUCUCCAUAUUGGAUAAUGAUGAGUGGCAUGCAUCUAAUGUGCAUAGAAAAUUUCGCAGGUUAUCACUUCAUAAUAUCAAGGCAAAGGUUCAGAACCAUCAAUUAGAUAGCAUUAGCCUAUCAAAAGUGAGGUCCUUUGCUGUUUUUUCUCCGGUUACUUGUGAUUGGUUGCCAUCUCUCUCAAGCUUCCAAUUUUUACGUGUGCUGGAUCUUGGAAAUUGUGGAAGUGGCUCUGGUAUCUGUCUCAAGUAUGUCGGAAAUUUAAUUCACCUAAGGUACCUAGGGCUCAGGAAUACAAAUGUUCGCGAACUCCCAAUUGACAUCGGCAAGUUGCAGCUUUUGCAGAUACUAGAUAUAAAAAGAACUCGUAUAAAAGAAUUACCUUCAAGUGUUGUUCAGCUAAGAAAAUUGAUAUGCCUAUAUGUCGAUCGUAGAGUGAUGCUGCCAAAAGGAAUGGGGAAUUUGGUAUACCUCCAAAUGUUGAAACGAGUAGACUUAUCCUCAUCUCCUCACAUUGUGAAAGAGCUGAGCCAUCUGACAGAGGUUACGAAGCUCAUACUUUACUGCGACAAUAAGGACAUUGAUCUGGUCAAUAUGGAUAUGUUAAUUGAGUCCCUAGGCAACUUGCAAAAAUUGCGAAGUCUAUGGAUUAAUUUUGGUGGCAGACUGAAUGAUUGCAUGCGUGUAAGCUGGGUGCCCCCUCCACAACUUCAUACUUUUAAGUCAUGGAGCUUCAAAGAAGGGUCGUUCUUGAGACUUCCAAAGUGGAUUAACUCAACGUCGCUUCCCCGCAUCUCCACCCUGGAAAUAUUUGUGAAAGAACUGCAAGGGGAUGACCUUCAGAUAAUUGGGAUGCUGCCUGCUCUUCGGUCUCUGUACCUGCGUGCAAGUCGCGUGAUGGGAACGUUGGUUGUGAGGGCCGAUGCAUUCAGAUAUGCGAGAUGCUGCAAGUUCUUCGGGUUUCUGACUUCGCCGUGCCUUUUUCCACCUGGAGCUAUGCCAAGGGUUCAACACCUUGAGUUCAGGGUCUCCGCACUGUCGAUCGCGAGUGGUGAGGUUGACUGCAGCAUGGAGCACCUCCCUUCUCUCGAGCGUGUCGUGGUUUUUCUGCAGCGUGAUAAUUCCAGCAAUGACGGGGAGGAGACACCCAGGGCUUGGCUGAAGCGCGCAGCAGAAGCCCAUCCAAAACGUCCCACCAUGAAAAUCUAUUAGACUUGAGUGCGACAUGCCUCUGCUGCCGGUAAGGUACGGUCUCCUCAUCUAAGCAAUUAUCUAUUCCUGAAUAAGCUCACUACUACCAUAUUGUUUGAUUUAUCCCUAUUACUUUCCCAAUUUCAGACCUCCAGUGAAAUCCUGGAGUCAGGCACUAGUACAGUAGUACUUCCAUCAGUUGCCAUGGACAUUGCUUCAACAUUCCGAUAGGUAACAAACAAUUCACUGUGCCACUGCAGGAAGCAAUCCAGCCGCUCUCCACCUAUGUUUGGACUCUGUCUUUUGCUCCGAUUUUUGUACGGCGUGAUAUCACUCGUACAUGGACUUGAAUCAACUGAUGACUGUCGUACAAAAAUCAUACAAAAGUUGUCGUACGUGUAGCAGGACUCUUUGCUAAAGAGAGGCUUCCUCACGUUGUUCACGAUGAACAAUUUUUUUUCUGCAUAUGCUUUCAGAAAUACAACACCUCAUUUCCUUUAUUCAGUCAAGACUCAAGACUCGUACAAUAAGAGGUUGCAUUCAGUUGGCACUGUUUGUAACACUACAAAACAGAGGCUUCCUCACGUUUCCAUCUCUUCAUUUGCUUGUUCACAUAUAGCGUUGUUUUGUUUUUAUUGGCUUAUUAAUGAAGAGUUGAAGUCUACCCUGACUAAAAGGUAGCUGAUUGAAAUCCUGUUGUAGCUCCAUAUUUGCUUCAUGUUGUUCGUAACGUUUUCUCUUCUUGCUCAACUCUUGUCUCGAGCUCGUGAUAGAUAGGUAGGUGUCAACUCAGCCUGUAGGUGGGACGACCUGCGGGCAUCCCUCAUAGUGCCGCAUCUUCCCACACAAUUAUGUGGGACUAAACGGGUUGCCUAGAUAAAUCAUAUACUCCCUCCGUCCCAAAAUAAGUGUCUUGAGCUUAGUACAAAUUUAUAUUAGAGUUAGUACAAAAUUGAGACACUUAUUUUCGGACGUAUGAAUAUGUGGUUAUGUGGGCUGCCACAUACCCACAACCUAUAUAAAAGAAUAGUUGCACUAUUGCAGUAGAAAUAUUCCCAAAGUUUCUUGGUAAAAUAUUAUUUUUAUCUUUAGAAACCCAUGCAUGCAUAUAGAAAGGGACUGUCUAUAUUACAUCCGACUGAAAUUUAAUUGGCUUUCAGUCAUAUUUUCGGCCAUCCAAAGUUAAUUGUCAUCUGUCCUCUGCUUCUGUCCUGUCCACGGCUUCUCUCCUGUCCCCCAAUCNNNNNNNNNNNNNNNNNNNNNNNNNNNNNNNNNNNNNNNNNNNNNNNNNNNNNNNNNNNNNNNNNNNNNNNNNNNNNNNNNNNNNNNNNNNNNNNNNNNNNNNNNNNNNNNNNNNNNNNNNNNNNNNNNNNNNNNNNNNNNNNNNNNNNNNNNNNNNNNNNNNNNNNNNNNNNNNNNNNNNNNNNNNNNNNNNNNNNNNNNNNNNNNNNNNNNNNNNNNNNNNNNNNNNNNNNNNNNNNNNNNNNNNNNNNNNNNNNNNNNNNNNNNNNNNNNNNNNNNNNNNNNNNNNNNNNNNNNNNNNNNNNNNNNNNNNNNNNNNNNNNNNNNNNNNNNNNNNNNNNNNNNNNNNNNNNNNNNNNNNNNNNNNNNNNNNNNNNNNNNNNNNNNNNNNNNNNNNNNNNNUAUACACUGUAUACAAUGUAAUUACACUAAAAGAUCACUGUAAAAUUGCACUGAGAUUACACUAGAAAUUCCCUAAACUUACAGUGUAAUUACAGCAUAAAUACCCUUAAAUUGCAGUGUAACUACCCCUGAAAUUACACUGUAAUUGGCUAUGUGAUGAUGUACCUGAAAUCACACUAAAAAUCCCAGUGAUUUAUGGAGUGAUUAUACCCCUGAAAAAAUACACUGUAACUACCACAGAAAUUACACUUUAAUUACAGUAAAAUUAGGAGUGUGAUUGCCCUGAAAAUUAUAGUGUAAUUAACCCUGAAAUUACAGUGUAAAUGCUGUAAUUGAACUGUAGUUACACUGGAAAAUGCACUGUGAUUACAAUGUAAUUACCCCUGAGUUUACACUGUAAUAGAACUGUAAUUACACUGUAAAUCCUAUGAAUGUUCACUAGGUUUCAGAGAUGAAAUAAAACCAAAUCUAAGAUCAUGGAAACAAUCAGAGGGAAAACAGGAAAAAAAGAAGGAAGAAGUAGCAGAAACAAGACCAUGGCAAGCCUACAAAUGGGGAUCAUGAGAUGCCUGCAAAAUGAAGAACAGCAUAUACUAGAGAAAGAAAGCAAAGGAAAAACAGAGAAGAGAAAGUUAAAGAGAUGAAGCAUUCAAAGAGGAAAUGAAGUACUCUACCAGAUGAGAGUAAAGUCAAUAAGAAACGAUUGAGUCUUAAUUUGAUAGAAAGCAUUGGUGCUACUUAUUUUGCUGUUACCAAAUUUCCAGUGCUUUUAUUUUGUUGUUAGCUGCAAAUGAAAGAAGUAAUAAAGAUAAAUGAUGCCAAGAUGAAAAAAUACCAGUACAUAAAGAACAGCAUAUACCAGUGCUACUUAUUUACAGUCUACAUCUCUGUUAGUGCACUACAAAACCACUAUAAAAAACCACUAGCCACCUAUAGAAGAUUUCAAUGCUUAUAAUGCACAUCCACUAUGAGUUCCAAAUCCAUCUAAGAGGAUUUCCACUGAGAAAUGGGGAGGAAUCGUAUAUCAAGCUACACACUCAAGGAUGCGAAAACUAGGAUACAAAAAAGAGAAAGGGCAUGGGCUAUAAAUAGGAAAAACAUUGCAAGCCCACUAAGAUUUUUGUUUUGAAACAUACAACUUAUAAUUACACUGUAAAUACAUUGAUAAAUACAGUGAAAGUCUAAUAUGAAUUACACUGUAAAUCAACUAGCAAUUACACUGUAAAUCCACUCACAAAUACACUGUAAAUCCAAGGCAAUUACACUGUAAAUCCACUCGCAGUUACACUGUAAAUCCACUCGCAAAAAACACUGUAAAUCCACUAUAAAUCAACUCACAAAUACACUGUAAAACUAAGGCAGAAAUACACUGUAAAUCCAAAAAAGGAAUUACACUGCAACCCACUGAGAAUUACAGUGUAAAACAACCAGGAUUACGCUGUAAAAUCUACUAUCUAACCACUAGAAAAUCACACUGUAAAAUACGCUUAGUUACACUGAAAAUCCACUAUGGACUACACAGUAAAUCACUGUAUAUCCAAAUAGGAAGUACAUUGUAAAUGACAGUAAAUCAAAUGGGAAAUUACAUUAUAAAACCAACAAGGAAUUGCAGUUACAGAAAACGGUCUAGGGGAUUAUAACACCAGAGAUCAGGGUGACAAAUACACCCAGUAAGUUCGAAUUCUCUCAAUACAGCAUACUGCUACAACUAAACAAGCCAGCCUAUGAUUAACAACCGGCCGAACUUGAACAACAAACCAAUUACAGAAUUAACAACUGCACAUAACAGAUCCAGCGAGGCGCAUCCCAGCUACCCCAGCUAACGCGCAUAGCAGAGCAAUUAAAACGCCCAUCUCAUAAACGGGGCAACCUCACACAUCUACACAAAAAAUAGCUGCGGGGAUGGAUCACAGCAACAGAUCUGACUGACAAAACCAUCCGCACUACCUAACAGAUCACAGGAACAAAACAAAAACGAGGGUGAAAUACCGAAUCCGACGAACAGAAUCGGCGGCGGAAAUGGGGACGGUUGGGUGCAGGAUCGAGAGAUGCCGCAGCCCCCACCGGCAGACACAGAAGGGGGGCGGAGGAAGCGGGGCAGCACAAGGCAGGGCGCGGACGUGUCACCACCAAACAAUGGGAUCGAGCGGCGAGGCAGAGCUCCAAAUCGCCAUGGCCAUCUCUCUCGCUCGACUCUGUUCCGGGGUUGCGUGUACGAAAUGACAAAGGGGUUGCAAGUGGAAAUUAACGGGUUAACUAACGGGCCCGAUAAGAGAAACCAGACGAAAAAAACAAAGAAACACACGAAUCUCAGUGCACAGAUCGCACGGUACAGAAAAUGAAUGAAAGCGAAUUGUUUUCAUCCGCACGUAAAUUAGCAAAACCGUAUAGAAAUGUCCGUAACAACGACGUGCGCGCGCGGGCUCGACUCGACAUUUGACCGGGAACACAGCACAGUGGCAUGCAUUUGGCAAAACAAGUAACCACAAAACAUGUGAUUAGGGUAAUCAAUCAACCAAUGCAGGCGCACUUUGUUCCUUAUACUGUUUAUGACAGAUACUGCACAUCCAUCCGUCCUCCCUCCAUUACAGCGUGGCCGUUCGUCUCCAGACCUACAACAUGAUUCCGUUUUCAUCUACAGAACUACUCCUUUGAUUCCACUAAUUCCACCGGGACAGCUGCUGAUCGACUCUGGCUCAGCCACGCACGGCCUGCAGGGGAUCCGAUCACCUCAUCCAUGCCGACAACGACGGUAGCUCGCUAUCCUCGCCUCCACGUGAUCGGUCCGUCCUCAUCCGCGAAGAUAAGACGGCGGCUGGCCCCGUACGUACGUCGCUCUCCCUCGCUCCGUGUGGCUAGCUAGCUGCCGGUCAUGCUCCAACGUUGAAACCCUAGCGAUCUUUUCCAUGGAGCCAACGCUAUCCACCGCGACGCCCCCUGUCACGCUGCUUCCGCUUGCAUAAAGACUUUGCGUUACACCAUCGACCGGCGUCGCCGUCUUGCCCAAGGAAGACAUGGCCGCGGGCGGGACCGAUAGAUGUGAGCAGUUGAUCGCCCAUCUUCGAUCCCUCACUGGCGUAGGGAUCGGCUCUCCUAUCACGGCGCGCUUUGUUAUCCGCGGGGAAAGGAAGGGGCAACGCGGAGAGCGACGGCGUGUGGUAGCACAGAGCUGGCCUGGAGGGUUGGCGCGUGUUCGAGUAGUCGCUUGCGCCGUAUGCACCUUCAGCCUUUGCUUUCACCGGAGGUCGGCAAAGCAAAAGGGCCGGCCGCGGUGGGCUAGGGGCCAAGCUAGCCGAUGCAAGAUACCAAGGUGUAGCUAGCUAGGUAGGAGUAUCAAUUCAAUUCAACACAGGGGUGCUGCCGUGCUGCGCUGCUACUUAGGUCUGCAGCUCGGCCGCGCUUGUACGAUCGGACAAGACAAACGCAUCAUACUUUGCCGUGGCAUAUCCAAGCGAUCAAAGUCACGCGCUUGCUUCUUUCUUUGUUGGCCUUCUCAUGAUGUGUUUGCUAGCUUUGUGGUCUUAAUCAGGGAGUGAACAUUCAGAGAAUAUAUAGCUUCCUCAUUUCUGAAUUAUGUGCUGCCCAAGAUAUAUCGUUCAUUGUUUUUGACAUAGCUUACCACUCAUGCCAAGUGGUGAGUUUUAUAUGGUACUCCCUAUGUAAACUUUUAUAAGAACUUUUAGGUCACUAAAAUAGUGGCAUAAACAUCUUAUAAUUGUCCUCUCUUUUUUCGAUAAAAGGGGGCCACAUGGCCCCCAUUUUCAUCUUAUAAUUGUCCUCUUUGCACAUUUAUUCGUGUGGAUUACACCGUCCUAGAUGGGGUCGUUCAUGGUGGCAACAUGUGACGUGAAGACAUAAAUUAACGAGUAAACAAAACGGGGUAUCUUCUCCGCCUUAUCCGGCCGGAGCAUCCACUGAGAGAGACGUCCAUGUAAUCAACCCAGUCACCUACCCUGUGCUGCUAUCCCUGUGGAUCCACCCAUGCGACGGCAGCAUGGAGGUUGGGAGGAAACACCAAAGCCCAAACCUCCGGGUCCCGGCCCCGACCGAGAACUGAAGAUAGACAUGGAUAUGGAUGUGGGUUUCGUCGUCGUUGCCUUUGCUCUGUGCCAUCCACCAGCUGACUUGACUAGCAGUAGCAGCAGCAGCAGCAGCAGCUAGUUGCCACCUGCUACUGCGUGCACAACUUUCGAUCAUAGGCCAGAAACACGCACACACGCACGUUGUGGAUAAGAUCGACGCGCCGGGCGCUAGCUAGCUUUCGUGGACGGACACCAUCGGCUCGUCCGCAAGUGGAACACUGGUGGUGGUGGGGGUGGGUCGAUCGGAGGUGCGGCGUCAGGUCUCGGCGUCACCGCACAGUGCCGAGUCCUUUUCCUUGUCUCUGUGGUUGGAGUUGCGGCACUAUGGCAGGGUGAGGAGGAGCUGGCCAGCAUCCAGCUUCCUCUUUCCUUUCCCCUCACAGGGUGUGUGGCUCUAACCACGACCCAUACAUAGUCAGUCUCGUUGCCUAUGGCUUAAGCAACUAGUGGCAUUGGGCAGAAGGGGCUGGAUGGAGCUCAAAAGGUUCGCUGUGUCGUUUUUUUAAUAUUUUAUUACGUACUACUCGUAGUAUUUCAUCUCAUGUUAUGUACUUGUGCCAUUAUAAUUAAGUUAUUUGUUUUUUUUCAGAUCUCGUGAUUUCUGAGCAAGUUUGAAUUUGUCACCGAAACUUUGCAUCUGUCCAUAUUGAAUAUGCCAGUCAUAGAACUGCAAAUUAUCAGAGAAUUCUAGAGCGCUGCUAUAUAGACGAUAAAUUUGUGGCCGACUCCCAGACGAUCCUACUUGGCAGCAGCCUGUUGCCUGUGUAUGCCGGAGUCAAUUGUUUUUUCCUUAGCUGAUGCUAGCGCUGUUGGGGUGAAGUAUCUUCCGCAGAACGUGCAUAAAGUAUCAUGUGUGAAGCAAUUUCGAGAAUUCUGCCGGGAGGACGAGCCCCCCUCUCCCCCUCCCGCUCGCUCCCGCGAGCGCCGCGGAGGGGAAACCCUAGCCGCCGGCCUCCGACCCCCUCCCCUCCCUCCUCCUCCCUCGUCGCCGCCGGCUCGCGCGGACGGGCGUGCGUUGGCGGCGGCGGGGCAUCUCUUCCCCUGCUCUGUCACGGGCUGGCACGGGCCGGCGUGGACGGGUGGUGGCGCAGCGCGAGCAGAGGGCGCGGCGGCGGGACUGGUGCUUGGCGGCCGUGAGAAGGUCUCUGUGGUGGUGGUCCUUGCGCCUGCGUGGGCGGGGGUUCCUGUUCGUGCGGUGCCGGAUCUGUGGCGGCGGCCACUGACGGGCGGCGCACCGGCUCCCCUGCGGUGGGUGGCCGGUGCUGAUGCGGAAGGCCACCAUGCCUGGCCGCGUGAGCGGUGGGUUGGCGGCAGGCUCGGAGCUGGCUCCGAGGGUCUUCCCGUUGGCCCCUUGGAGCGGAUCUGACGGCGGCCUCCUCCCCUGCGCCUCUUCUUGCCUCGCCGAUCUACGAGGCGGGCAUCAGUGUGCCCGGUGUGUAAACUUUGGUGGAAGCGUUGAACCCUUUGCUCGGGCCGCAUCUCUAUUUAUAUCACAUGUGUGUCGUGGCUUACAAGAGAUCGAGACGAUCGAGAGAGAUCAGGAUCGAUCGGUUACAGGAGACUAGGGGGAUUACAACAGAAGAAGAGAUAGAAGGAUACAAGUUUAAAACACCUCUCCUACCUCUAUACAAUAUCAUCUAACACUCCCCCUCAAUCUUAGCCUCAAGAAACUUUCGCGAGAUUAAGAUUGUACUUAAACUCAUCCAACCUCCUCAUAGUAAGGGGUUUUGUGAAGCCAUCAGCAAGUUGAUCUCCAGUAGGUAUAAACCGAAUGUCAAGUAGCCUUCGAGCUACCCUUUCUCUGACAAAGUGGAAAUCAACCUCAAUAUGCUUGGUACGUGCAUGAAAAACAGGAUUGGCUGACAGAUAAGUUGCACCAAUAUUAUCACACCAUAAUCUAGCAGCUUGUGGAGCCUUGAUUCCAAGUUCAUAGAGCAAUGUUUGUAUACACAUUACUUCUGAUGUAGCAUUAGCCAAGGCCUUAUACUCAGCCUCUGUACUUGACCUUGAGACAGUAGCCUGUUUUCUUGCACUCCAUGACAUAAGAUUAGUUCCCAGAAACACAGCAAAACCACCUGUAGAUCUUCUAUCAUCAGCAAACUCUGCCCAGUCUGCAUUAGAAUAGGCAGUAACAAGUAGAGAAGGAGACUUGGUAAUCUGAAACCCAAGUCCUUCAGAAGACUUUCGAUACCUUAAAAUCCUCUUGACUGCAGUCCAGUAAGUUGUUCUAGGUGCAUGUAAAUACUGACAUACCUUAUUCACAGAGUAAGAGAUAUCAGGACGUGUAAGAGUCAGAUACUGCAAAUCACCCACAACACUUCUGUAAUUAGUUGCAUCUUCUGGCCCAAGUGCUUCUCCACUUUCAAUUGUAAGUUUUUCAGAAGUUGAAAUUGGCGUACUCACAGGUUUACAAUUGUACAAACCUACUCUCAUGAGUAUAUCGUUGUAUAUUUUUCCUGUGUAAGAAGUAUACCAUCCUUGAUCUGCUUCACUUCUAUGCCAAGAAAAUAGCGAAGAUCUCCCAAGUCCUUGAGAGCAAACUCUAACUUUAAAUCUUUAAGCAAACAAGUGGUAGCAUCUAAACUUGAGCUUGCAACAAUUAUAUCAUCAACAUAAACAAGCACAAAUAUAGUAAUAUUGUCUUUAUGAUAAAAGAACAAUGAGGUAUCUGCUUUGGAUGGUCUAAACCCAAGUUGUUGUAACUGCAUGCUCAAUCUUGAGUACCAGGCUCUAGGGGCCUGUUUCAAACCAUAUAAGGCCUUAUCCAACUUACAGACAUGAUGAGGUGUGCUUUGUUUUUCAUAUCCAGGUGGCUGCCGCAUGAACACUUCUUCCUCAAGAACACCAUGAAGAAACGCGUUUUGAACAUCUAGCUCGCGUAAACUCCAACCUCUGGAAAUAGCAAUAGACAAUACAAGUCGAAUAGUGGCUGCCUUAACAACAGGACUAAAUGUAUCUUCAUAAUCAAUACCAAAUCUCAGCUUAAAACCUUUGGCAACUAAUCUAGCCUUGUAUCUGUCUAUGCUUCCAUCAGGUUUUCUUUUUAUUUUAUAUACCCAUUUGCAAUCUAUAACAUUGCUACCUUCUUUUAGAGGUACUAAGUGCCAAGUUCUAUUUUUCAUGAGAGCAUCAUAUUCAUUAUCCAUAGCCUCCUUCCAUUCUUUAUGAGCCAGAGCAUCAUGCAAGUUAUUUGGUUCUCCAACACUACUAAGAAAAGCACGUUUGACUCUGUCAUAUCGUACCUUACCAUCAUUAUAUUCCUUUUGUUUGAUAAUACCUGACUGUGACCGAGUGUGUCGAUGAGGAGGCUGAACUGGUGCUGCUGACGUAGCCAUAGGAGAUCCAGAAGCAGUAGACACCUCCACAGAAAAUCCAGGUACCGGAUCCAAGGCAGAUUCUGAAGGAAAUAUGCCCUAGAGGCAAUAAUAAAGUUAUUAUUUAUUUCCUUAUUUCAUGAUAAAUGUUUAUUAUUCAUGCUAGAAUUGUAUUAACCGGAAACACGAUACAUGUAUGAAUACAUAGACAAACAGAGUGUCACUAGUAUGCCUCUACUUGACUAGCUUGUUGAUCAAAGAUGGUUAUGUUUCCUAACCAUAGACAUGUGUUGUCAUCUGAUUAACAGGAUCACAUCAUUAGGAGAAUGAUGUGAUUGACUUGACCCAUUCUGUUAGCUUAACACUCGAUCGUUUAGUAUGUUGCUAUUGCUUUCUUCAUGACUUAUACAUGUUCCUAUGACUAUGAGAUUAUGCAACUCCCAUUUACCGGAGGAACACUUUGUGUGCUACCAAACGUCACAACGUAACUGGGUGAUUAUAAAGGUGCUCUACUGUUGGGGAACGUAGUAAUUUCAAAAAAAUUCCUACGCACACGCAAGAUCAUGUGAUGCAUAGCAACGAGGGGGGGGGUGUGAUCUACAUACCUAGUAGAUCGACAACGGAAGCGUUUGGUUGAUGUAGUCGUACGUCUUCACGGCCCGACCGAUCAAGUACCGAAACUACGGCACCUCCGAGUUUUUGCACACGUUCAGCUCGAUGACGAUCUCCGGACUCCGAUCCAGCAAAGUGUCAGGGAAGAGUUCCGUCGGCACGACGGCGUGGUGACGAUCUUGAUGUACUACUGCAGCAGGGCUUUGCCUAAACUCCGCUACAAUAUUAUCGAGGACUAUGGUGGCUGGGGCGCCGCACACGGCUAAGGAAAAGAUCACGUGGAUCAACUUAUCUGUCUCUGGGGUGCCCCUGCCUCCAUAUAUAAAGGACUAAAGGGGGGAGGCUGGCCGGCCACAUAGGGCGCGCCAGGAGAGUCCUACUCCCUCUGGGAGUAGGAUUCCCCCCCAAUCCUAGUUGGACUAGGACUCGCGGAGGGGGAAAAGAGAGAGAGGGGCCGGCCCCCUCUCCUUGUCCAAUUCGGACCAAGGGAGGGGAGGGGCGCGCGGCCCACUAUGGGCUGCCUCUUCUCUUUUCCACUAAGUCCCAAUAAGGCCCAUCUAGCUCCCGGGGGGGGUUCCGGUAACCUCCCGGUACUCCGGUAAAAUCCCGAUUUCACCCGGAACACUUCCGAUAUCCAAACAUAGGCUUCCAAUAUAUCAAUCUUUAUGUCUCGACCAUUUCGAGACUCCUCGUCAUGUCCGUGAUCACAUCCGGGACUCCGAACAACCUUCGGUACAUCAAAAUGCAUAAACUCAUAAUAUAACUGUCAUCAUAACCUUAAGUGUGCGGACCCUACGGGUUCGAGAACAAUGUAGACAUGACCGAGACACGUCUCCGGUCAAUAACCAAUAGCGGGACCUGGAUGCCCAUAUUGGCUCCUACAUAUUCUACGAAGAUCUUUAUCGGUCAGACCGCAUAACAACAUACGUCGUUCCCUUUGUCAUCGGUAUGUUACUUGCCCGAGAUUCGAUCGUCGGUAUUCCAAUACCUAGUUCAAUCUCGUUGCCGGAAAGUCUCUUUACUCGUUCUGCAAUACAUCAUCCCGCAACUAACUCAUUAGUUGCAAUGCUUGCAAGGCUUAAGUGAUGUGCAUUACCGAGAGGGCCCAGAGAUACCUCUCCGACAAUCAGGGUGACAAAACCUAAUCUCAAAAUACGCCAACCCAACAUGUACCUUUGGAGACACCUGUAGUACUCCUUUAUAAUCACCCAGUUACGUUGUGACGUUUGGUAGUACCCAAAGUGUUCCUCCGGUAAACGGGAGUUGCAUAAUCUCAUAGUUAUAGGAACAUGUAUAAGUCAUGAAAAAAGCAAUAGCAACAUACUAAACGAUCGGGUGCUAAGCUAAUGGAAUGGGUCAUGUCAAUCAGAUCAUUCUCUUAAUGAUGUGAUCCCGUAAAUCAAAUAACAACUCAUUGUUCAUGGUUAGGAAGCAUAACCAUCUUUGUUUAGCGAGCUAGUCAAGUAGAGGCAUACUAGUGACACUUUGUUUGUCUAUGUAUUCACACAUGUAUUAUGUUUUCGGUUAAUACAAUUAUAGCAUGAAUAAUAAACAUUUAUCAUGAUUAUAAGGAAAUAAAUAAUAACUUUAUUAUUGCCUCUAGGGCAUAUUUCCUUCAGUCUCCCACUUGCACUAGAGUCAAUAAUCUAGAUUACACAGUAAUGAUUCUAACACCCAUGGAGCCUUGGUGUUGAUCAUGUUUUGCUCGUGGAAGAGGCUUAGUCAAUGGGUCUGCAAUAUUCAGAUCCGUAUGUAUCUUGCAAAUCUCUAUGUCUCCCACCUGGACUAGAUCCCGGAUGGAAUUGAAGCGUCUCUUGAUGUGCUUGGUUCUCUUGUGAAAUCUGGAUUCCUUUGCCAAGGCAAUUGCACCAGUAUUGUCACAAAAGAUUUUCAUUGGACCCGAUGCGCUAGGUAUGACACCUAGAUCGGAUAUGAACUCCUUCAUCCAGACUCCUUCAUUUGCUGCUUCCGAAGCAGCUAUGUACUCCGCUUCACAUGUAGAUCCCGCUACAACGCUUUGUUUAGAACUGCACCAACUUACAGCCCCACCGUUUAAUGUAAACACGUAUCCGGUUUGCGAUUUAGAAUCGUCUGGAUCAGUGUCAAAGCUUGCAUCAACGUAACCUUUUACGAUGAGCUCUUUGUCACCUCCAUAUACGAGAAGCAUAUCCUUAGUCCUUUUCAGGUAUUUCAGGAUGUUCUUGACUGCUGUCCAGUGAUCCACUCCUGGAUUACUUUGGUACCUCCCUGCUAGACUUAUAGCAAGGCACACAUCAGGUCUGGUACACAGCAUUGCAUACAUGAUAGAUCCUAUGGCUGAUGCAUAGGGAACAUCUUUCAUAUUCUCUCUAUCUUCUGCAGUGGUCGGGCAUUGAGUCUUACUCAACUUCACACCUUGUAACACAGGCAAGAAUCCUUUCUUUGCUUGAUCCAUUUUGAACUUUUUCAAAACUUUGUCAAGGUAUGUGGUUUGUGAAAGUUCAAUUAAGCAUCUUGAUCUAUCUCUAUAGAUCUUAGUGCCUAAUAUGUAAGCAGCUUCACCGAGGUCUUUCAUUGAAAAACUUUUAUUCAAGUAUCCCUUUAUGCUAUCCAGAAAUUCUACAUCAUUUCCAAUUAGUAAUAUGUCAUCCACAUAUAAUAUCAGAAAUGCUACAGAGCUCCCACUCACUUUCUUGUAAAUACAGGCUUCUCCAAAAGUCUGUAUAAAACCAAAUGCUUUGAUCACACUAUCAAAACGUUUAUUCCAACUCCGAGAGGUUUGCACCAGUCCAUAAAUGGAUCGCUGGAGCUUGCACACUUUGUUAGCUCCCUUCGGAUCGACAAAACCUUCUGGUUGCAUCAUAUACAACUCUUCUUCCAGAAAUCCAUUCAGGAAUGCAGUUUUGACAUCCAUCUGCCAAAUUUCAUAAUCAUAAAAUGCGGCAAUUGCUAACAUGAUUCGGACAUACUUAAGCAUCGCUACGAGUGAGAAGGUCUCAUCGUAGUCAAUCCCUUGAACUUGCCGAAAACCUUUUGCGACAAGUCGAGCUUUGUACACAGUAAUAUUACCGGCAGCGUCAGUCUUCUUCUUGAAGAUCCAUUUAUUCUCAAUUGCUUGCCGAUCAUCGGGCAAGUCAACCAAAGUCCAUACUUUGUUCUCAUACAUGGAUCCCAUCUCAGAUUUCAUGGCUUCAAGCCACUUUGCGGAAUCUAGGCUCACCAUCGCUUCUUCAUAGUUCGUAGGUUCAUCAUGAUCUAGUAGCAUGACUUCCAGAACAGGAUUACCGUACCACUCUGGCGCGGAUCUUACUCUGGUUGAUCUACGAGGUUCAGUAGUAUCUUGUUCUGAAGUUUCAUGAUCAUUAUCAUUAGCUUUCUCACUAACUGGUGUAGGUGUCAUAGAAACAGUUUUCUGUGAUGCACUACUUUCCAAUAAGGGAGCAGGUACAGUUACCUCGUCAAGUUCUACUCUCCUCCCACUCACGUCUUUCGAGAGAAACUCCUUCUCCAGAAAGUUUCCGAAUUUAGCAACAAAAGUCUUGCCUUCGGAUCUGUGAUAGAAGGUGUAUCCAAUAGUUUCCUUUGGAUAUCCUAUGAAGACACAUUUCUCCGAUUUGGGUUCGAGCUUAUCAGGUUGAAGCUUUUUCACAUAAGCAUCGCAGCCCCAAACUUUUAGAAACGACAACUUUGGUUUCUUGCCAAACCACAGUUCAUAAGGCGUCGUCUCAACGGAUUUUGAUGGUGCCCUAUUUAACGUGAAUGCGGCCGUCUCUAGAGCGUACCCCCAAAACGAUAGCGGUAAAUCAGUAAGAGACAUCAUAGAUCGCACCAUAUCUAGUAAAGUACGAUUACGACGUUCGGACACACCAUUACGCUGUAGUGUUCCGGGUGGCGUGAGUUGCGAAACUAUUCCACAAUUUUUCAAAUGUACACCAAACUCGUAACUCAAAUAUUCUCCUCCACGAUCAGAUCGUAGAAACUUUAUUUUCUUGUUACGAUGAUUUUCAACUUCACUCUGAAAUUCUUUGAACUUUUCAAAUGUUUCAGACUUAUGUUUCAUUAAGUAGAUAUACCCAUAUCUGCUUAAAUCAUCUGUGAAGGUGAGAAAAUAACGAUAUCCGCCAUGAGCCUCAAUAUUCAUAGGACCACAUACAUCUGUAUGUAUGAUUUCCAACAAAUCUGUUGCUCUCUCCAUAGUACCGGAGAACGGCGUUUUGGUCAUCUUGCCCAUGAUGCACGGUUCGCAAGUACCAAGUGAUUCAUAAUCAAGUGGUUCUAAAAGUCCAUCAGUAUGGAGUUUCUUCAUGCGCUUUACACCGAUAUGACCUAAACGGCAGUGCCACAAAUAAGUUGCACUAUCAUUAUCAACUCUGCAUCUUUUGGCUUCAACAUUAUGAAUAUGUGUGUUACUACUAUCGAGAUUCAACAAGAAUAGACCACUCUUCAAGGGUGCAUGACCAUAAAAGAUAUUACUCAUAUAAAUAGAACAACCAUUAUUCCCUGAUUUAAAUGAAUAACCGUCUCGCAUCAAACAAGAUCCAGAUAUAAUGUUCAUCCUUAACGCUGGCACCAAAUAACAAUUAUUUAGGUCUAAUAUUAAUCCCGAAGGUAGAUGUAGAGGUAGCGUGCCGACUACGAUCACAUCGACUUUGGAACCGUUUCCCACGCGCAUCGUCACCUCGUCCUUAACCAAUCUUCGCUUGAUCCGUAGUCCCUGUUUCGAGUUGCAAAUAUUAGCAACAGAACCAGUAUCAAAUACCCAGGUGCUACUGCGAGCAUUAGUAAGGUACACAUCAAUAACAUGUAUAUCACAUAUACCUUUGUUCACCUUGCCAUCCUUCUUAUCCGCCAAAUACUUGGGGCAGUUCCGCUUCCAGUGACCAGUCUGCUUGCAAUAGAAGCACUCAGUUUCAGGCUUAGGUCCAGGUUUGGGUUUCUUCUCUUGAGUAGCAACUUGCUUGCCGUUCUUUUUGAAGUUCCCCUUCUUCUUUCCUUUGCCCUUUUUCUUGAAACUAGUGGUCUUGUUGACCAUCAACACUUGAUGCUCCUUCUUGAUUUCUACCUCCGCAGCUUUCAGCAUCGCGAAGAGCUCGGGAAUAGUCUUAUUCAUCCCUUGCAUAUUAUAGUUCAUCACGAAGCUCUUGUAGCUUGGUGGCAGUGAUUGGAGAAUUCUGUCAAUGACGCAAUCAUCUGGAAGAUUAACUCCCAAUUGAAUCAAGUGAUUAUUAUACCCAGACAUUGUGAGUAUAUGCUCACUAACAGAACUGUUCUCCUCCAUCUUGCAGCUAUAGAACUUAUUGGAGACUUCAUAUCUCUCAAUCCGGGCAUUUGCUUGAAAUAUUAACUUCAACUCCUGGAGCAUCUCAUAUGCUCCAUGAUGUUCAAAACAUCGUUGAAGUCCCGAUUCUAAGCCGUAAAGCAUGGCACACUGAACUAUCGAGUAGUCAUCAGCUUUGCUCUGCCAGACGUUCAUAACAUCCGGCGUUGCUCCUGCAGCAGGCCUGGCACCCAGCGGUGCUUCCAGGACGUAAUUCUUCUGUGCAGCAAUGAGGAUAAUCCUCAAGUUACGGACCCAGUCCGUGUAAUUGCUACCAUCAUCUUUCAACUUUGCUUUCUCAAGGAACGCAUUAAAAUUCAACGGAACAACAGCACGAGCCAUCUAUCUACAAACAAGCAUAAACGAGCAAGAUACUUAUCAGGUACUAAGUUUCAUGAUAAAUUUAAGUUCAGUUAAUUUACUUAAAGAACUCCCACUUAGAUAGACAUCCCUCUAGUCCUCUAAGUGAUUACAUGAUCCAAAUCAACUAAACCAUGUCCAAUCAUCAUGUGAGAUGGAGUAGUUUCAUUGGUGAACAUCAUUAUGUUGAUCAUAUCUACUAUAUUACUCACGCUCAACCUUUCGGUCUCCGUGUUCCGAGGCCAUAUCUGUUUAUGCUAGCCUCGUCAAGUAUAACCUGAGUAUUCCGCGUGUGCAACUGUUUUGCACCCGUUGUAUUUGAACGUAGAACCUAUCACACCCGAUCAUCACGUGGUGUCUCAGCACGAAGAACUUUCGCAACGGUGCAUACUCAGGGAGAACACUUCUUGAUAAUUAGUGAGAGAUCAUCUUAUAAUGCUACCGUCAAUCAAAGCAAGAUAAGAUGCAUAAAAGAUAAACAUCACAUGCAAUCAAUAUAAGUGAUAUGAUAUGGCCAUCAUCAUCUUGUGCUUGUGAUCUCCAUCUCCGAAGCACCGUCGUGAUCACCAUCGUCACCGACGUGACACCUUGAUCUCCAUCAUAGCAUCGUUGUCGUCUUGCCAAGCUUGUGCUUCCACGACUAUCGCUACCGUUUAGUGAUAAAGUAAAGCAUUACAUCGCGAUCUCAUUGCAUACAAUAAAGCGACAACCAUAUGGCUCCUACCAGUUGCCGAUAACUCGGUUACAAAACAUGAUCAUCUCAUACAUUAAAAAUCAGCAUCAUGUCUUGACCAUAUCACAUCACAAUAUGCCCUGCAAAAACAAGUUAGACGUCCUCUACUUUGUUGUUGCAAGUUCUACGUGGCUUCUACGGGCUUAAGCAAGAACCAAUCUUACCUACGCAUCAAAACCACGACGAUAAUUUGUCAAGUUGGUGCUGUUUUAACCUUCGCAAGGACCGGGCGUAGCCACACUCAGUUCAACUAAAGUUGGAGAAACUGUCACCCACAAGCCAUCUCUGUGCAAAGCACGUCGGGAGAACCGGUCUCGCGUAAGCGUACGCGUAAUGUCGGUCUGGGCCGCUUCAUCCAACAAUACCGCCGAACCAAAGUAUGACAUGCUGGUAAGCAGUAUGACUUGUAUCGCCCACAGCUCACUUGUGUUCUACUCGUGCAUAUAACAUCAACAUAUAAAACCUAGGCUCGGAUGCCACUGUUGGGGAACGUAGUAAUUUCAAAAAAUUUCCUACGCACACGCAAGAUCAUGUGAUGCAUAGCAACGAGGGGGGGAGUGUGAUCUACAUACCUAGUAGAUCGACAACGAAAGCGUUUGGUUGAUGUAGUCGUACGUCUUCACGGCCCGAUCGAUCAAGUACCGAAACUACGACACCUCCGAGUUUUUGCACACGUUCAGCUCGAUGACGAUCCCCGGACUCCGAUCCAGCAAAGUGUCGGGGAAGAGUUCCGUCAGCACGACGGCGUGGUGACGAUCUUGAUGUACUACUACAGCAGGGCUUCGCCUAAACUCCGCUACAAUAUUAUCGAGGACUAUGGUGGCUGGGGCGCUGCACACGGCUAAGGAAAAGAUCACGUGGAUCAACUUGUCUGUCUCCGGGGUGCCCCUGCCUCCAUAAAUAAAGGACUAAAGGGGGGGGGGGCUGGCCGGCCACAUAGGGCGCGCCAGGAGAGUCCUACUCCCUCUGGGAGUAGGAUUCCCCCCCCCCCCCCAAUCCUAGUUGGACUAGGACUCGUGGAGGGGGAAUAGAGAGAGAGGGGCCGGCCCCCUCUCCUUGUCCAAUUCGGACCAAGGGAGGGGAGGGGCGCGCGGACCACUAUGGGCUGCCUCUUCUCUGUUCCACUAAGGCCCAAUAAGGCCCAUCUAGCUCCCCGGGGGGUUCCGGUAACCUCCCGGUACUCCGGUAAAAUCCCGAUUUCACCUGGAACACUUCCGAUAUCCAAACAUAGGCUUCCAAUAUAUCAAUCUUUAUGUCUCGACCAUUUCGAGACUCCUCGUCAUGUCCGUGAUCACAUCCGGGACUCCGAACAACCUUCGGUACAUCAAAAUGCAUAAACUCAUAAUAUAACUAUCAUCGUAACCUUAAGCGUGCGGACCCUACGGGUUCGAGAACAAUGUAGACAUGACCGAGACACGUCUUCGGUCAAUAACCAAUAGCAGGACCUGGAUGCCCAUAUUGGCUCCUACAUAUUCUACGAAGAUCUUUAUCGGUCAGACCGCAUAACAACAUACGUCGUUCCCUUUGUCAUCGGUAUGUUACUUGCCCGAGAUUCGAUCGUCGGUAUUCCAAUACCUAGUUCAAUCUCGUCGCCGGCAAGUCUCUUUACUCCUUCUGCAAUACAUCAUCCCGCAACUAACUCAUUAGUUGUAAUGCUUGCAAGGCUUAAGUGAUGUGCAUUACCGAGAGGGCCCAGAGAUACCUCUCCGACAAUCGGAGUGACAAAACCUAAUCUCGAAAUACGCCAACCCAACAUGUACCUUUGGAGACACCUGUAGUACUCCUUUAUAAUCACCCAGUUACGUUGUGACGUUUGGUAGUACCCAAAGUGUUCCUCCGGUAAACGGGAGUUGCAUAAUCUCAUAGUUAUAGGAACAUGUAUAAGUCAUGAAAAAAGCAAUAGCAACAUACUAAACGAUCGGGUGCUAAGCUAAUGGAAUGGGUCAUGUCAAUCAGAUCAUUCUCUUAAUGAUGUGAUCCUGUAAAUCAAAUAAUAACUCAUUGUUCAUGGUUAGGAAACAUAACCAUCUUUGAUUAACGAGCUAGUCAAGUAGAGGCAUACUAGUGACACUUUGUUUGUCUAUGUAUUCACACAUGUAUUAUGUUUCCGGUUAAUACAAUUAUAGCAUGAAUAAUAAACAUUUAUCAUGAUUAUAAGGAAAUAAAUAAUAACUUUAUUAUUGCCUCUAGGGCAUAUUUCCUUCAUCUACAGGUGUCUCCAAAGGUACAUGUUGGGUUGGCGUAUUUCGAGAUUAGGAUUUGUCACUCCGAUUGUCGGAGAGGUAUCUCUGGGCCCUCUCGGUAAUGCACAUCACUUAAGCCUUGCAAGCAAUGCAACUAAUGAGUUAGUUGCGAGAUGAUGUAUUACGGAACGAGUAAAGAGACUUGCCGGUAAUGAGAGUGAACUAGGUAUUGAGAUACCGACGGUCGAAUCUCGGGCAAGUAACAUACCGAUGACAAAGGGAACAACGUAUGUUGUUAUGCGGUCUGACCGAUAAAGAUCUUCGUAGAAUAUGUAGGAGCCAAUAUGAGCAUCCAGGUUUCGCUAUUGGUUAUUGACCGGAGACGUGUCUCAGUCACGUCUACAUUGUUCUCGACGUAGGGUUCGCACGCUUAAGGUUUCGAUGACAGUUAUAUUAUGAGUUUAUGAGUUUUGAUGUACCUAAGGAGUUCGGAGUCCCGGAUGAGAUCGGGGACAUAAUGAGGAGUCUCGAAAUGGUCAAGACAUAAAGAUCGAUAUAUUGGACGGCUAUAUUCGGACACCGGAAGUGUUCCGUAUGAUUUCGGAGAAAACCGGAGUGCCGGAAGGGUUACCGGAACCCCCCAGGGAAGUAUUGGGCCUUAGUGGGCCUGAGGGGAGAGAGAGGGCAGCAGACCAGGAGGUGGCGCACCCCCUCCCAUGGGGAGUCCGAAUUGGACUAGGGGAGGGGGGCGCGGCCCCUCUUUCCCCCUCCCUCUCCCUUUCUUUCCUUCCCCCUUAUGUCUUCCUAGUUGGACUAGGAAAGGGGAGUCCUACUCCUACUAGGAGGAUGACUCCCCCUCCUUGGCGCGCCCUAAGGGCCGUCCGGCCUCCCCCCUUGCUCCUUUAUAUACGGGGGCAGGGGGCACCUCUAGACACACAAGUUGAUCUUCAUGAUCGUUCUCUUAGCCGUGUGCGGUGCCCCCCUCCACCAUAAUCCUCGAUAAUAUUGUAGCGGUGCUUAGGCGAAGCCCUGCGACGGUAGAACAUCAAGAUCGUCACCACGCCGUCGUGCUGACGGAACUCUUCCCCGACACUUUGCUGGAUCGGAGUCCGGGGAUCGUCAUCGAGUUGAACGUGUGCUAGAACUCGGAGGUGCCGUAGUUUCGGUGCUUGAUCGGUCGGGUCGCGAAGACGUACGACUACAUCAACCGCGUUGUCAUAACGCUUCCGCUUUCGGUCUACGAGGGUACGUGGACAACACUCUCCCCUCUCGUUGCUAUGCAUCACCAUGAUCUUGCGUGUGCGUAGGCAAAUUUUGAAAUUACUACGUUCCCCAACAGUGGCAUCCGAGCCUAGGUUUUAUGUGUUGAUGUUAUAUGCACGAGUAGAACACAAGUGAGUUAUGGGCGAUAUAAGUCAUAUUGCUUACCAGCAUGUCAUACUUUGGUUCGGCGGUAUUGUUGGAUGAAGCGGCCCGGACCGACAUUACGCAUACACUUACGCGAGACUGGUUUUACCGCCGUGCUAUGCACACAGGUGACUAGCGGGUGUCAGUUUCUCCAACUUUAGUUGAACCGAGUGUGGCUACGCCCGGUCCUUGUGAAGGUUAAAACAGCACCAACUUGACAAACUAUCAUUGUGGUUUUGAUGCGUAGGUAAGAACGGUUCUUGCUAAGCCCGUAGCAGCCACGUAAAAUUUGCAACAACAAAGUAGAGGACGUCUAACUUGUUUUUGCAGGACAUGUUGUGAUGUGAUAUGGUCAAGACAUGAUGCUAAAUUUUAUUGUAUGAGAUGAUCAUGUUUUGUAACCGAGUUAUCAGCAACUGGCAGGAGCCAUAUGGUUGUCGCUUUAUUGUAUGCAAUGCAAUCACCCUGUAAUGCUUUACUUUAUCACUAAGCGGUAGCGAUAGUCGUAGAAGCAUAAGAUUGGCGAGACGACAAUGAUGCUACGAUGGAGAUCAAGGUGUCGCGCCGGUGACGAUGGUGAUCAUGAUGAUGCUUCGGAGAUGGAGAUCACAAGCACAAGAUGAUGAUGGCCAUAUCAUAUCACUUAUAUUGAUUGCAUGUGAUGUUUAUCUUUUACGCAUCUUAUCUUGCUUUGAUUGACGGUAGCGUUAUAAGAUGAUCUCUCAGUAAAUUUCAUGAUAAAAGUGUUCUCCCUGAGUAUGCACCGUUGCCAAAGUUUGUCGUGCCCAGACACCACGUGAUGAUCGGGUGUGAUAAGCUCUACGUCCAUCUACAACGGGUGCAAGCCAGUUUUGCACACGCAGAAUACUCAGGUUAAAACUUGACGAGCCUAGCAUAUACAGAUAUGGCCUCGGAACACUGAGACCGAAAGGUCGAGCGUGAAUCAUAUAGUAGAUAUGAUCAACAUAGUGAUGUUCACCAUUGAAAACUACUCCAUUUCACGCGAUGAUCGGUUAUGGUUUAGUUGAUUUGGAUCACGUGAUCACUUAGAGGAUUAGAGGGAUGUCUAUCUAAGUGGGAGUUCUUUAGUAAUAUGAUUAAUUGAACUUUAGUUUAUCAUGAACUUAGUCCUGGUAGUAUUAGCAUAUCUAUGUUGUAGAUCAAUAGCUUGCGUUGUUGCUUUCAUAUGUUUAUUUUGAUACAUUCCUAGAGAAAAAUUGUGUUGAAAGAUGUUAGUAGCAAUGAUGCGGAUUGGAUCCGUGAUUUGAGGUUUAUCCUCAUUGCUGCACAGAAGAAUUAUGUCCUUGAUGUACCGCUAGGUGACAGACCUAUUGCAGGAGCAGAUGCAGACGUUAUGAACGUUUGGCUAGCUCAAUAUGAUGACUACUUGAUAGUUUAGUGCACCAUGCUUAACGGCUUAGAAUCGGAACCUCAAAGACGUUUUGAACGUCAUAGACCAUAUGAGAUGUUCCAGGAGUUGAAGUUAAUAUUUCAAGAAAAUACCCGAGUUGAGAGAUAUGAAGUCUCCAACAAGUUCUAUAGCUAAAAUAUGGAGGAGAAUCGCUCAACUAGUGAGCAUGUGCUCAGAUUGUCUGGGUACUACAAUCGCUUGAAUCAAGUGGGAGUUAAUCUUCCAGAUAAAAUAGUGAUUGACAGAAUUGUCUAGUCACCAUCACCAAGUUAGUAGAACUUCGUGACGAACUAUAAUAUACAAGGGAUAACGGAAACGAUUCCCAAGCUCUUCGUGAUGCUAGAAUCGACGAAGGUAGAAAUCAAGAAAAACAUCAAGUGUUGAUGGUAGACAAGACCACUAGUUUUAAGAAAAGGAAAAAGGAAGAAGGGGAACUUCAAGAAGAACGGGAAGCAAGUUGCUGCUCAAGUGAAGAAACCCAAGUCUGGUCCUAAGCCUGAGACUAAGUGCUUCUACUGCAAAGGGAUUGGUCACUGGAAGCGGAACUACCCCAAGUAUUUGGUGGAUAAGAAGGAUGGCAAGGUGAACAAAGGUAUAUUGGAUAUACAUGUUAUUGAUGUGUACUUUACUAGUGUUUAUAGCAACCCCUCGGCAUUUGAUACUGGCUCAAUUGCUAAGAGUAGUAACUCGAAACGGGAGUUGCAGAAUAAACAGAAACUAGUAAAAGUCGAGGUGACGAUGUGUGUUGGAAGUAGUUCCAAGAUUGAUAUGAUCAUCAUCGCACUCUCCCUGUACUUUCAGGAUUAGUGUUGAAACUAAAUAAGUGUUAUUUGGUGUUUGUGUUGAGCAUGAAUAUGAUUUGAUCAUGUUUAUUGCAAUACGGUUAUUCAUUUAAAUUAGAGAACAAUUGUUGUUCUGUUUACAUGAAUAAAACCUUCUAUGGUCAUACACACCAACGAAAAUGGUUUGUUGGAUCUCGAUCGUAGUGAUACACAUAUUCAUAAUAUUGAAACCAAAAGAUGCAAAGUUAAUAAUGAUAGUGCAACUUAUUUGUGGCAUUGCCGUUUAGGUCAUAUUGGUGUAAAGCGCAUGAAGAAACUCCAUACUGAUGGACUUUUGGAACCACUUGAUUAUGAAUCACUUGAUGCUUGCGAACCAUGUCUCUUGGGCAAGAUGACUAAAACGCCGUUCUCUGGAACAAUAGAGCAAGUAACAUAUUUGUUGGAAAUCAUACAUACUGAUGUAUGUGGUCCGAUAAAUAUUAAGGCUUGCAGCGGGUAUCAUUAUUUUCUGACCUUCACAAAUGAUUUGAGCAGAUAUGGGUAUAUCUACUUGAUAAAACAUAAGUCUGGAACAUUUGAAAAGUUCAAAGAAUUUCAGAGUGAAGUGGAGAAUCAUCGUAACAAGAAAAUAAAAGUUUCUACGAUAUGAUCGCAGAGACAAAAUAUUUGAGUUACGAGUUUGGCCUUCAUUUGAAACAAUGCGGAAUAGUUUCGCAACUCACGCCACCCGGAACACCACAGUGUAAUGGUGUGUGCGAACAUCGUAAUCGUACUUUACUUGAUAUGGUGCGAUCUAUGAUGUCUCUUACAGAUUUACCGCUAUCGUUUUUGGGGUUAUGCAUUAAAGACAGCUGCAUUCACGUUAAAAAAGGGGCACCAUCUAAGUCCGUUGAGACGACACAAUCUGAACCGUGGUUUGGCAAGAAACCAAACUUGUCAUUUCUUAAAGUUUGGGGUUGUGAUGCUUAUAUGAAAAGGUUUCAUCCUGGUAAGCUCAAACCCAAAUCGGAGAAAUAUGUCUUCAUAGGAUACCCAAAGGAGACUGCUGGGUACACCUUCUAUCACAGAUCCGAAGGCAAGACAUUCGUUGCUAAGAAUGGAUCCUUUCUAGAGAAGGAGUUUCUCUCGAAAGAAGUGAGUGGGAGGAAAGUAGAACUUGAUAAGGUAAGUGUACCUUCUCCCUUAUUGGGAAGUAGUUCAUCACAAAAAAUCUGUUCCUGUGACUACUACACCAAUUAGUGAGGAAGCUAAUGAUGAUGAUCAUGUAACUUCAGAUCAAGUUACUACCGAAUCUCGUAGGUAAACUAGAGUGAGAUCCGCACCAGAGUGGUACGGUAAUCCUGUUCUGGAAGUCAUGUUACUAGACCAUGACAAACUUGCGAACUAUGAGGAAGCGAUGGUGAGCCCAGAUUCCGUGAAAUGGCUUGAGGCCAUGAAAUCUGAGAUGGGAUCCAUGUAUGAGAACAAAGUGUGGACUUUGGUUGACUUGCCCGAUGAUCGGCAAGACAUAGAAAAUAAAUGGAUCUUCAAGAGGAAGACGGACACUAAUAGUAGUGUUACUAUCUACAAAGCUAGAAUUGUCGCGAAAGGUUUUCGACAAGUUCAAGGUGUUGACUAUGAUGAGAGUUUCUCACUCGUAUCUAUGCUUAAGUCUGUCCAAAUCAUGUUAGCAAUUGCCGCAUUUUAUGAAAUCUGGCAAAUGGAUAAACAAAACUGCAUUCCUUAAUGGAUUUAUUAAAGAAGAGUUGUAUAUGACACAACCAGAAGGAGUUGUGGGAGGGAGCAUGGCUGGUGAGGGGAACCUUGGUUCAGCUGUCAUGGACAUAUCAGUUGGGAAUCAAUUGGUGCCGGGGGAGGAUGGCAAGGGAGCUCGCAAGAGGUUAGUUAAUGAGGAUGGCACCAUUACAGUGAGGGGUCAACCAGUGCCAAACCUGGUUGGGAAGGUCAAUAAUACGGUGCUUAUGAUUGAGGGUGGAGGAGAAACGGUAGAGACAGUGGUACCAGGGCCUUCAAAUAGCACUCCGGGGAAACGCCCUGUCGUCAAGAGGAGGAAGCAAGGUGCAGGGGAGGAAGAGGAUGAAGACCAAAUGACAAUUUUAGCGGCCUCCGGCUCGGAGGACCGCCGAGCCCAAUGAAUCUCUUAAGUUGGAACUGCCGGGGAGGGGGGAAUACCCGGAUAGUUCGUGAGCUAGCGACUCUAUGUCAGUCGCAUUCCCCCACUUUGGUGUUUUUGUGUGAAACAAGGCAGAAGGCGGACAAGUUGAAAAGAAUUCGAGCAAGGUUGGGUUUAAAGGGUUUUUGCGGCGUGGAUAGUAAUGGUAUGAGCGGUGGUCUGGCGCUUUAUUGGCAUGAAUCUUAUGACGUCCAGAUCCUAGACAAGAAGGAUAGAUACAUUGAUGCCUUGGUGCGAAUCCACCCGGAUGCUGAGCAAUGGAGAGUAACCUGUGUGUAUGGAGAACCCAGAGUGGAAAAUAGACCGGCAAUGUGGUCGGCGUUACAAAACCUGAAAACUGUCAUUGAUCGGCCAUGGUUAGUUGUCGGUGACUUUAACGAGGCUAUGUGGAACUUUGAGCACAUGUCUGCCACACCAAGACCCGAAGCACAAAUGGUGGCCUUUCAAGACGUGUUGGAGGUGUGUGAGUUGGUUGAUCUAGGCUUUAUUGGUGUUCCAUUCACAUAUGACAAUAAACGGAGUGGUGCAAGUAAUGUCAAAGUCCGGUUGGACAGAGCGGUGGCAUCCAAUGGUUGGAGGAACUUGUUCGCGUACUCGUCGGUUGUUCAUAUUCCUUCUCCUUGCUCGGAUCAUAUAGCCAUUUUGGUAAAGGGGUCUGCUGAUCCAGGUCCGAUAGGGAAGAACAACAGAAAAUAUGAGGUUUUCUGGGAGCGGGACCCUAUGUUGUCGGACAUAAUAAAGGAAGCAUGGGAGGCUGUAGGCGGCAUCCAGAACCUGGCUCAGCUGCGAGAUGCACUAUCCAAGACUAUGAGCUCAUUGGGUUUAUGGAGUAAGAAAUUUGGUAACAUAAGGAUAGAGUUAGCAAAGUCUCGGACCCAGUUAGAAGAAUUGAUGAACAUGAACGCAGACAGAGCGGAGAUCAGGGUUGUAACGGACAAGAUGAACGAACUCCUAUACCAGGAGGAAAUGUUAUGGCUACAACGGUCAAGAAUAACAUGGUUGAAAGAAGGCGAUAGAAAUACUAAAUAUUUCCAAAGCAAGGCAGUGUGGAGAGCAAGGAAGAAUAAAAUUCGAGAGCUUACUGAUAGCAUUGGGGUGGUGCAUACAGACAGUGUGGUGAUGGGGGAGAUGGCGAAUGAGUAUUUCCAAAAUAUUUUUAAGGCCGAUCCAACCAUAAACCCGUCUCCAAUACUGGAUCAUGUGGAGGUCAAAGUAACUGAGGAUGAUAAUGCCAGGCUGGUUGCUCCUUUUUCUGAUAAGGAGAUAUCAGAUGCUCUGUUCCAAAUUGGCCCUUUGAAGGCCCCGGGACCGGAUGGUUUUCCGGCUCGUUUUUUCCAGAGAAACUGGAGUACGCUCAAAGAUGAUGUUAUUGCUUCGGUUAAGGAUUUUUUUCAGACAGGCAUUAUGCCAGAGGGGGUAAACUCAACUUCUAUUUUUCUUAUCCCUAAAGUUGCUAAUCCAUCCAAGUUGUCUGAUUACAGGCCUAUCAGCUUAUGUAAUGUUAUCUAUAAGGUCAUCUCUAAGUGUUUGGUUAACCGGUUGAGGCCUUUAUUGGAUGAUCUUAUUUCUCCGGAACAAAGUGCUUUCAUUCCAGGUAGGAUGAUUACAGAUAAUGCCUUGAUAGCCUUUGAGUGCAUUCAUUACAUCAAGCAAGAAAAGGACCCCACAAAAAGUUUCUGUGCUUAUAAACUAGAUUUGUCAAAAGCAUAUGAUCGUGUGGAUUGGGUCUACUUGAGGCAGGUGAUGCAAAAUUUGGGUUUCUCUCAUCGAUGGAUUGAUUGGGUAAUGACGUGUGUUACAUCGGUGAGGUAUUCAGUUAAGUUCAAUGGAACCCUCUUGGAUUCAUUUGCACCGACGUGUGGCCUUCGGCAAGGCGACCCACUAUCACCAUUUUUAUUUCUGUUUGUGGCGGAUGGACUGUCAACUAUCUUGAAGAAUAAGGUGUCUAGGGGAGAUCUCUCUCCGGUGAAAGUGUGUAGAAGAGCCCCUGGUAUUUCCCACCUUUUGUUCGCUGAUGAUACGUUGUUGUUUUUUGAGGCCUCUAGGAGGCAAGCAGAGUGUGUGAGGGCAGCACUACAGGAGUACGGUGCAGCUACUGGGCAAAAGCUAAACUAUGAGAAAUGCUCAAUACUUUUUGGUAAUUCAUGCCCAACCGCAAGCCAAGAGCAGGUCCGAACUGUACUGCAGGUGACAAGUUCAGCUUUUGAUGAAAGGUAUCUUGGUCUCCCGACGCCAGAUGGCCGAAUGUCCAAAGGCAAAUUUUAGAAUCUUCAAGCCAAACUAACAAAACGUCUGUUGCAAUGGGGGGAUGGCCUUUUGGCUCAGCCAGGUAGAGAGGUGUUGAUUAAAUCAGUGGCCCAAGCAUUACCAACUUAUAUUAUGGGUGUAUUCAAAUUGCCGUUUUCGGUGUGUGAUGAUUUGACGAGAAUGGUGCCGAAUUUUUAUUGGGGUUCUGCAGAAGGGAAGCGGAAGGUUCAUUGGAGAAAAUGGGACUAUCUACUCCAACCAAAAGACAGGGGAGGUGUGGGAUUUUGAGACUUCCGUUUAUUUAACCAAGCACUGCUAGCUCGACAGGCUUGGCGGCUUUUGUCCAAUCUGGAUAGUCUGGUUCUUAAGGCAAAGUAUUAUCCAUAUGGCAAGCUAGAGGAUACGGUCUUCACAGGGAAUGCAUCAUCGUCGUGGCAAGCUAUUAGUCAUGGCCUUGACCUGUUGAAGAGAGGAUUGAUUUGGAGGGUGGGAAACGGGAGAAAUAUCAGAGUGUGGAGGGACAACUGGAUCCCGAGGCCGUUCUCAUUCAAGCCGGUCUCGCUGCAGGGUAGAUGCCGAAUCCGCUUCGUGUCAGACUUGCUUAAUGCAAAUGGGUCUUGGAAAGUGGACCUUUUACAGCAGUUUUUUCUGCCGGCUGAUGUCAUUGAGAUUUUGAAGAUUCGAGCUUCUCCAAGGCUGGAUGAGGAUGUGAUUGCAUGGGCCCCUGGAAGGCAUGGAGUUUUUUCUGUAAAGUCGGCCUAUCAGUUUGUGUUUCAGGAAUUGUAUGGAGCAAGCAUAGCCUCGUCUAGUAACUCGGCUUCAGGAGGAAGGAGUUGUUGGAAGUUAAUUUCGAAUAGUGCAGUUCCACCAACGAUCCGUAACUUUGCAUGGCGACUAACGACGGACGCCCUUCCUACGUGGAAGAACAAGAACAAAAGAGGGCUUGAACUUGUGAGCGGCUGUCCGAUUUGUGGUUCAGAGAUUGAGGACAACUUCCACCCUUUUCUGAGAUGCCAGCGGGGAAGGGAUCUGUAUAAGGAGAUGGCGAAGGUAUGGAGGUUGCCGGUGAUCGAAUCCUUUGUGCCCAAUGGGAGGGAAUGGCUACUCCAUGCGCUGGAUCCCCUAUGUGAGCUUGAUCGGUGCAAGCUUUUGCUCAUUUUCUAGAGAAGCUGGUACGUGAGGAAUGAAAUCAUACAUCAUAAACCGGCCCCGGACAUGGAUGUUUCCGUGAAUUUCCUGAGAAGAUACUUGGAUGAAUCAGUGGGGAUUAAAGUGAAUCAUGGUAUGGAUGUGGCUAAGGGUAAGGGAUACCUGUCCUUUGAUCACACUACAGAAGUGAGGGAGAUUCAGAGUGAUGGCCCAGUGUGUAAGUGGCAACCCCCCGCCGAGGGCUGGGUUAAACUAAACACGGACGGGUCCUUUGUUGAUAGUGAUCAUGCGGGUACCGGUAUGAUUCUCCGAAACUCCAGUGGAGGGAUUAUUUUUUCGUCAUGCAGAUCGCUAUUUUCUUGUAGAGAUGUGGUUGAAGCGGAACUAGGUGCAAUCAUGGAGGGUUUAUCGCUGGCUAUACAACGCUCCGAUUUGCCUAUUGUUAUCGAAUCAGAUUCUAGUUUGGCAGUGUCCAUGGUAUCUUCUGGCGAAGUUAAUCGUUCAAUUUAUGCCAAUUUAUGCCGCUUUGGUUAAUGAAAUAAGACUGCUGAUGCGUCUUAGACAAACUUAUAUUACUCAUAUUAUGAGAGUCCAGAAUAAAGCUAGUGAUAGUUUGGCUAGGUUUGUUCGAAUUGAGGAGCGAACUAUGACUUGGCUAGGAUCUGGGCCAGAGGAGGUCUUGGGUAUAUCCCUUGAUGAUUGUAAAGACAUUGAUAUCUGAGUAAUACAAGUGUUCUCGCAAAAAAAGAAUUUAAACCAAAAAUCAAACCGAAUUCUUGUUUGGUUUUUGUUUACAUGAAAUUUGAUGUUCGAUUCUUACUUCAGUUCUUGUCGCCAAAAAAACCGUUUAGCCCGAAGAAACUGAUCUGAAUUGUGUUUGCUUGUAUGAAGCACUACCAUAUAACUUGUUGCUUGGAUGUCCUCUUCUUUUUCCAAAUCUGAUUUAGUUUGGUGCACCUAAAUACCAAAUUAAUUGAACUGAAAUAUUCAGUUUAUUUAUUUUGUUUUUUUACAAACCAUAUUUCAGUUUGCAUUUUGUAGAAACCGAUUUUUUUGAGAAAUCGAAUAAACCGAAGCAGUUACACUGAAUAAACCGAAUGCCCACCACCCUAACUAUCAUUCAAACAUUUUAAUUUUUAUUCAAAAAAUUUCAAUUUCAUUCUAUUUUAGGGUUUUUACAAGGAUUUGAACAAAAUUUAAAUCUAAACAUACUACGCCCUAAUUACUCGUUGUCGGACCAGUUGAAGUUGUCGAUGACGACCAUUGAUUUGCCUAUAGCAUCAUUGAGCCCCGACAGGUUCUCCGGGCCGUCGAGGUCGAGGUGGCGCGCCGAAACCCAGCCUAGUGACGUCAUUGAUUCGUGUAUCACCUGCAGGAACCCCAGUGAGUCUUCGGGUCGCGGGCUCUUUGGGGACGUUGUACGCCGCUAGCACGAACGGUACCUUCGGCUCUGGCUCGGGCUUGGGGUGCGGUGGUUGCCAGGUGCCCCGGAGCUCGCCUGCUGUCAGGCUUUCGGUGGUGCCUGUCCCCAUCAUCGGCUCCGUUGUCAUGCCGAAACGAGCGAGCUCCUCCGUCUGCUCGAUGGUAAGGUUGCGCGGCCAUCCUCCCGUCGAGGUUGUGCCGCGCCGCCGACUGCUAACGGCCCCGCUGUUGCCGUGCCACAUGGUCAUCGGGGGUGGAGGCCUAGGCCUAGGAUUCGGUUGUGGUGGGCGCAUAUGUGGGAGUGAAACCGACGGUCAAGAGGGGUGCAAUGAGGGCGAGUGGUAGACUGGCAUGGUGGCUGGUGUACUGCCGCAACUAGUGGUCGCGCAAGUGAUGCGUGUGGCAGACGACGAGUUGCCUGUGGGAAACCGCUGCGGUCAGAUGUUUGACUAGUUGACCGUCCUGCGGCCGUUCGCACGCCACCGACAUGUUCCCCACGUGCAACCGAGUGGGCGUGCGGAGAGAUCGGGUGCGUGCCUAUUUUUUUAAAAAUGACCAUCAUAACUUUAAUUACGAAGGGGAUGGACAAAUCGCCCCCAUCGACGUGUUUAGGGGGUGUACCAAAGGAGAAGUCUUCUUGUUAUUCCGGUUUUUUUUUCAUAAUGUUUCUCAUUUGCCCCUUGUCCAAAUUUUGUGGAUUAUAUACUUUCUGGCCAUUAUUAAGUUUGGAGGAUCUGGUUUUGUCUCCAACUCAUGUCUUACUUUUUGUUGAAAACAGAAAAGAAAAGAAAAGAAAAAAGGAUCACACAUUAGCGGAGGAUGCUGCUGCCGACGCGGGCGGACACACGAGAUGAGACGACCGCAAGUUGUUCCGGGUCAACGAUUAGUUUCCACUUCCACUACUUCCUUUCUGCUUCUUUCCUUCAUCUCUCGCUCUCUGCGGCGACUAGGGUGGUCGCGCCGGGUCUCCCCCCAAACUGCGACGGCGCCGGCGCCGAAGGUACUCUACUGCUCGUUUCGUCCCCAUCCUCCUCUGUUCCAUACAUUUCUUUCGAUCUAGUUAGCGCACAGUUCCCUUCUUUCUUUCAUUCUUCCCGGUUUUGAUGUUGCAGAGUUGGAUCCGUUCAACAUUCGCUCAGCAGAGGUGGGUAGUUGCUGUUCGGUGUUCCUCACUUCCUCGGGAUGCUCUUCUUCAGCUCCUGCUCUUGAUUGAGCCAAGCCAGGUGAUGCAUUCUUUUGUGCCGUCCGUCACAAGAUCAGCUUUUGCUCAUCCUGAAACCGUGCGUGUAGAUCCAGAGCAAGGGGAGGGUCAGAUCUUGCCCGGCCUGUUUCUGCCAUCCUGAUUAAUCUCUUGUUUGCUAUGCUAUUUUUAUUCUGUGACGCACAAACAGCAAAAUCUGGUUCCUGGACAUUUUUAUUUUUACUCUAAUUAUAUUAUUGUGAAAAUGUUAGCAGAUAUGUACAUCAGGAAAAGAAAAAGGAAUAAUAAGUAAGAUUAAAUAAAGUAAAGAUAAUAAAUGGUCAGUGGUCAGAGCUUAGUAUAUCUAUCCAAGCUCGGAGGGAUGCUGCAUUUUUUUCUUUCUUUUCACUCUGCCCAGCUUUUCCAAACAAAAUCAGAUCAUGCUUCUCCAAACAAAUUAGUACUACCGUGAGAUGUUACUUUCACGAAACACAAAUGUCCAGCUUUUGCUCAUCCGGUGUCCCUCUGAAAACAGUUAGUAGGAUUGUUGGUUAUUCUGAUAUGAAUUUAUUAUGUGCAGAAUUGGAUCUAGUCUCCAGUACUUCAUCUUGGGUUGCUGUUGCAAAGGACUCUGCAGAUUGGAUUUGAAGGAGCUGCUAUUCAAGGUAAUCUUCUUCUGCUUCUGCUUUGGAAGGAAGCAAUGCAUAGGCGCAUAGUGUACUGUUACUUUCACCGACCAAUCAAGUUCAGGUUUUCCUUAUUCUGUCUUCUGAAAAACAUAAUGUUUUCAUUCCAGAAUUUCACGCCAAGGACAGUGCUAUAGCCGUCUGUAGAUCAGAGUGCAAAGACAAAAAAAAUAUUCGAGAUAUGGAGGCCGCUGCUGGGGCGUUGAGCCCUGUCCUCCGUAAGCUCGGUGAGCUGCUCGCUGGAGAAUACAACCUGGCGAAGCGAGUAAAGAAAGGUGUACAAUCACUUCGUACAGAACUGGAGAUGAUGCACGCCGUACUUCGUGAGGUUGGCAAGGUCCCGCCGGAUCAGCUCCAGGAGCCGGUCCGGAUUUGGGCUGGCAAGGUGAGAGACCUCUCUUGCGACAUGGAAGACGCUGUUGAUGACUUUCUGGUGCGUGUGGAUGAGGGUCCAAGCAGCAAGCCAACGAACAUGAGGAAUCGUGUCAAUAAGUUCCUCAAGAAGACCACCAAAUUGUUUGGUAAUGGCAAAGCACUUCAUCAAAUCUCUAGUGCCAUCAAAGAAGCUCAGGACCUUGCCACGGAGUUGGUGGGGCUGCGUAAAAAGUAUGAGCUUGACACUCGUAGCACUAGCAAUGGUGCUACCAUUGACCCUCGUGUGUUAGCUCUGCACAAAGAUGUAGGGGAGCUUGUUGGCGUUGACCGCACAAGGGAUGAGGUUAUCCAAACACUGAUUUGUGAGGACGGGAGUUCCAAGGAGCAAUUGAAGACGAUCUCUAUUGUUGGUGUUGGUGGGCUAGGCAAGACAACACUCACCAAAGCAGUCUAUGAGAAGAUCAAAACCCAAUUUGAUUGUGUGGCUUUUGUCCCCGUGGGUCAGAACCCAGAUAUCAAGAAAGUUUUCAAGGACUUACUCUAUGGCCUUGACAAUGAAAAGUUCAGUGACAUUCAUAAUACAACAUGGGAUGAAAAUCUACUCAUCAAGCAAAUCAGUGAUUUCCUUGUGGAUAAGAGGUAUGCAUCAUGCAGUGCUUGUCCUUUUGUGUAUAUUUCGAAAAUGUGUGAAGUUGGUAGGACUAGGGUUCCUACCGGCUCUACUGCGUAGGUUGUAGGGGCAAGGAGGGAGUGGACGCGGCGAAGAACGGGCGCGCCGGCGGCAGGGCGCCGUCGCGGCUAGGGUUGAGGGCGGCGGCGGCGGCUUGGCUGCGGCGACUAGGGUUUCCGGCUCCUCUAGGAGCCGGGCAGCAAAAGAUAAUAAUAGUCUUUAUUGCUUCCUCAAAAUGAUGUCUUACAUGAGUAUUUAUAAUUUUAGCCUAAGAUAACUUGCCUAAGAUAACUUGUGGGCCAAGCCCCUAAUACUAAUGCCCGGUGGGCCUCUUCCUAGAAUAGACCAAGCCGGUCAUAACAUCUCUCCCCGCCUGCGCAAACAGCUCGUCCUCGAGCUGAAAGUCUGGAUAGUGUUGACGGAAAUCCUCACGCUGCUCCCAAGUAGCCUCCUCCUCCGGAAGGCCCGCCCACUGAAUUAGGACGAACCAGACGCCACGACGGAGCUGGGCCUGCAACACCUUUGCUGGCUCUGGAAGAAUGCGACCAUCGGCGGUUGGAGGAAGCGCCGGAGGAGCCGCUGGUGGCUCGCCACGGAAAGGCUUGAGCAGCCCCACAUGGAACACGUCGUGGAUGCGGGCGCGGGCUGGAAGCUGAAGACGAUAGGCCACCUUCCCAAUGCGCUCCACGACAGGGAAGGGCCCGGCGUAGCGAGGGCCAAGCUUGCGCUUCGCGCGCGGGUCCAGUGACUGCGUAGAGCGAUGGAGAAGAUGCAGCCACACCCAGUCACCCACUGCGAACUCCGCCUCGCGAUGAUGAUCGUCGUAGUAGUGCUUGGCCGUCUGCUGGGCCUGAAGGAGACGCUGACAGACCUCAGCCAGCAUCUCAUCACGGGUGCGGAUAAGGUCACCCGCGACCGCCGUCCGAGCCGUCUCCGGGUCGACCGGAAGUAUAGGCGGGGGUGGUCGACCAUAGACCACCUCAAAUGGCGUCGCGCGCAGGGCGGAGUGAUAAGAAGUGUUGUAGCAGUACUCCGCCCAAGAGAGCCAGUCCACUCAAGUGUGAGGCCGAUCACCUGUCACACAACGCAAAUACAUGGCAAUGACCUUGUUAACCACCUCAGACUGACCGUCCGUCUGAGGAUGGAACGCCGUGCUCAGGCGGAGCUGGACACCCACCAUCCUGAAGAGGUCGCGCCAGACAUGGCCCGUGAAGACUGGGUCCCGAUCACUGACGAUCGACGUCGGGAACCCGUGUAGACGGACUAUGCCGUCGAAGAAGGCCCGGGCCACGGACGCCGCCGUGUACGGAUGGCCCAGCGCGAUGAAGUGGGCGUACUUAGAGAAGCGAUCGACCACCGUGAGGAUGACCGACUUGCCCCCCACCUUGGGAAGGCCCUCGAUGAAGUCCAAGGAGAUAUCCGCCCAAACCUGAGACGGCACCUCCAAGGGUUGAAGGAGCCCCGCCGGCCUCAGGGUCUCUGUCUUGUUGCGCUGGCAAGUCUGACAAGACCGAACCCAGUCGCGGACCAGGGCACGAUCGCCAGGGAUGUAGAAGUCGGCGCGAAGACGAUGGAGGGUUUUCUGCACACCCUCAUGGCCCGCCGAGUGGGCGAGCUGCAACACCUGGUGACGGAGAUCAUCAUGCGCCGGAACAAAGAUCCGGCGCCCAUGGAGGAGCAGUCCGUCAGAGAAGCGCCAGGGCUCCUCCAAGUCGCCGGCCGCGAGCUACUGCUGAAGAAGUGCGGCGUCAUCUGCCGUCGCAGUGGCGCGUCGAAUGUCGGUGAAGAGACCGAACGAUGGCCCGGAGCGGAUGCACAGGGCCGUCCCGGCGGACGCGUCGGCGGGUGGCGCGAGGUUGGAAUCGCGACGGGACAGCGCGUCGGCCACGGUGUUAAGACGGCCUGGCCGAUACUCGACAGAGAAGUCGAAGCCGAAGAGCUUGCUGAUCCACUGGUGCUGCGGGACGGUCGACAGCCGUUGAUCCAGCAAGAACUUCAGGCUGUAGUGGUCCGUGCGAAAGUGGAAGGUCCGCCCCCACAAGUAUGGCCGCCAAUGACGCACGGCCUGGAUGAGGCCAAUGAGCUCCCGCUCGUAAGCUGCCAACUUAAGAUGGCGCGGAGCGAAAGGCCGGCUGAAGAAAGCGAGGGGCCCAUCGCCCUGAUUAAGUACGGCGCCGAACCCGGCGCCCGAGGCGUCGCAGUCCACCACGAACGGGCGGUCGAAGUCGGGCAUCUGGAGGACGGGGCCCGUCAUGAGGGCCCCCUUGAGGGCCUCGAACGCCGUCGUCGCCUCGUCGUCCCAGGCGAAGGCGUCGCGGCGAAGCAACCGCGUGAGGGGCGCCGCGAUGAGUCCGAACUCCCGGAUAAAUUUCCGGUAGUAGCCGGCGAGUCCGAGGAACCCGCGGCGAGUGAGGCGUCGGCCAGGCGGAGACGGCCGCCACCUUAUCGGCGUCCAUAGCCACCCCGUCGGCCGAUAUGACAUGGUCGAGGUAGGCGACGGUAGGCGUCCCGAACGAGCACUUCGAGCGCUUAAGGUGGAGGUGGUGCGCCCGAAGCUCGUUGAAGACGAUGGCGACGUGCUGGAGAUGUUUGGCCCAGGUGGCGCUGUAGAUAAGAAUGUCAUGAAAGAAAACAAGCACAAACCGCCGUAAGUAGGGUCGAAGGACGUCGUUCAUCAGGGCCUGGAACGUCGCCGGGGCGUUGGCGAGGCCGAAAGGCAUCACCAAGAACUCGAAGUGGCCAUGGUGGGUGCGAAACGCCGUCUUGGCGAUGUCGUCCGGAUGCAUGCGCACCUGAUGAUAGCCCGACCGGAGAUCAAGCUUGGUGAAGAAGCGUGCCCCAUGGAGCUCAUCCAAGAGCUCGUCGACCACCGGUAUAGGGAACUUGUCCUUGAGCGUGAGUGCGUUGAGGGCGCGGUAGUCGAUGCAGAAGCGCCAUGUACCGUCUGACUUACGGACGAGAAGCACCGGCGCCGUGAAGGGCGACGUGGAGAUCCGGAUGAUGCCUGCGGCGAGCAUCAGGGCACACUGGCGCUCCAACUCAUCCUUCUGCAGCUGGGGGUAGCGGUAGGGCCGCACCGCCACCAGAGUGGAACCUGGUACGAGGUGAAUAUGAUGGUCGUACACCCGGGCAGGCGGAAGACCCCGCGGAUCGUCGAAGAUGUCGCUGUGCUGCUGCAGAAGAGAAUCCAGCAGGGGGUGCUCGGCCUCCGAGGACGCGGCAGCCAGCUGGAGGUGUGGCACGGUAGGCGCGGCGCCCCCAAUGGCCUCCCACCGGAUGCGGCGGCCCUGCCGCCAGAAUGUCAUCGUGAGCGCGUCGAAAUCCCACAGGAUGGGGCCGAGGGUCCGGAGAAAGUCCACCCCGAGGAUGAAGUCGAAGCAGCCCAGAUCGAUCCCUGCACAAGUGAUGGAAAAGUGUUCGCCGCCGAUGGAGAUGGGAACGUCGUGGGCUAGCCCAUGGCACCGGAGGCGAUCGCCGUUCGCCACUGUGAUCCGCAGGCGCUCCCCGCCCGUCGUCGGGAGGGCUAGCCGACGCAUGGUCGACUCAGGCAGAAAGUUGUGUGUGGAGCCCGUAUCCAGCAGGGCCACCAGUCGCUCGCCAUGGAUCGUCACGGGCAGCAGCAUGGUCUGCUCGCCCCGGAUGCCGGCCAGGGCGUGAAGGGAGACGACGCACGCCGUCGCUGCGGAAUCCGCGGCCGCGUCCUCGGUCGCCGCAGGCGGAUGUAACGGCUCGGGCGAGUCGUCCUCCUCGAUGUAGUCGACCGUCUCUAAAUAAAAGAGGCGGGGGCAGACAUGGGUCGGCGUGUAGGGCUCAUCGCAGUUGAAGCAGACCCUGACGGCGACGCUCCUGCUGCUCGGCCGGUGAUAGCCGACGGAAGGGUCGUGUGGCGGCCGGGGGUGUGGCCGUUGCGGCUGGGAGAGGCCGACCCGGGGCUGAGGAAGUCGGUGCUGGCCGACUGGGCUGGCGGCCGCUCCGUCCGAGUGGCUGCUGCAGUGCCUGGGCCCGCUGCUCGAAGGCCCGGGCGUAGUACAUGGCCGUCUGGAGGUCGGGGGGAUCCCGGAGCUCGACGUCCACGCGGAUAUGGUCCGGCAGACCGCCCACAAAGGUGGCAUGCCGCCCUCGCCCUGCUCGAGGGCGUAGUACCAGGUCUGCGCUGCGCCUCGAAGAUGAUAGGACGCGAGCCAGGUACGAUCCGAAGCGAGCGUCCGCUGCCCUCGAAAGAACUGCUCGCACUGGUUGAGCCAGUUGAGGGGGUCCUCCGUGCCCUCGUAGGUGGCGAAGUCCAGUUUGGCGAAGCGAGGGGGUGUCGGCCCGCCGUGCCCGGGGGCGGCCGCAGUCGCCGCCGGCGCGUAUGCUGGGUCGGGAAGCGCCGGGGCGUAGUUCGCCGAGCUGGAGGGGUGAUCAAACCGCAGGGAGGGCGUCGGGUGUUCCGGCGCCGUGGAGUAGACCGGGCCCGGAGACGAGCCGGUCGCCCAAGCGGGGAUCAGCGAUGGUGACGGUGGAAACUGCACCUGGUGCAGGGGCCGACCCGUAGCCUUAGGCGCGGGUGGUGGUACUGUCGAUGGCGGCGGCGCCUGGUGGAGCUGCUGCAUCGGCGCCUGCGGCGUGGGGGCCGGCGGUGGCGCCGGAAGAAGCUGCUGGGUCGGGCCCCCGAGCGGCGCGGUGGAGGCCGGCCAUGCUGGCCACGGCUGUCCCGCAGCCGAGUAGUGCGGCGGCAGCAGCAGCGGCGGCUGGGACGCCCCUCCGUAGGGCGCCUGGAAGGCCGGGGCGGGCCACUGUAGCGGCAGCGGUCCGUAGGCGGUGGUGCCGGCGCUCGGUGGCGGGGGUUGGUUCCCGGCGAGGUAGAGGGUAAUACCCCUGACCGCCUGGACAAGCUCCCGCAGGGUGCCCGACACCUCGGGCGAGAGGAGCGGAGGCGGGUCCGCCGCGAUGGUGAUGGGCGCUGUCGCGGUGGUGAUGGUGGUGCCGGAUGCGAUCUCCGCCAUCGCGGUGGAAGUGGCCGGCGGCAGCGAGAGCGGGGUGGAGGUGGAUGGUAGCGGCGGCGGUGAUGGAGAUUGUGACAUGAUCGGCUUGGUGUCUCUGGAUACCAAAUUGGUAGGACUAGGGUUCCUGCCGGCUCUACUACGUAGGUUGUAGGGGCAAGGAGGGAGUGGACGCGGCGAGGAACGGGCGCGCCGGCGGCAGGGCGCCGUCGCGGCUAGGGUUGAGGGCGGCGGCGGCUUGGCUGCGGCGGCUAGGGUUUCCGGCUCCUCUAGGAGCCGGGCAACAAAAGAUAAUAAUAGUCUUUAUUGCUUCCUCAAAACGAUGUCUUACAUGAGUAUUUAUAAUUUUAGCCUAAGAUAACUUUCCUAAGAUAACUUGCCUAAGAUAACUUGUGGGCCAAGCCCCUAAUACUAAUGCCCGGUGGGCCUCUUCCUAGAAUAGACCAAGCCGGUCAUAACAGAAGUAGUGGGAUGUAUACUGAACUUCAUAUAUUCAAUUCCAUUUUGGCUAUUUUUAUAUUACUACUGGUCAGUUUCUUCAUAAGAAAAUUCUAUUUCUUUCUUUCUUGUGCAUGCACCUUAUUUUUUGUAGUCUUUUAGACUUAUUUCUGCUGCAUUUCUUACCAUUUUUGCAUGCAUAUCCUCACUGGUUACAGUUAUCCUUGUCACAAAAUUCAGUUGUAUACAUAUGACUUGCCAACUAAUGCUAUCAAAAUAAUUGGCAUAGGUACCUCAUCGUAAUCGAUGAUAUAUGGGGAAAAGACAUAUGGAAAUAUAUUGAUUGUGCUCUCUACAGAAAUAAACUCCAGAGUCGGGUAAUCACAACAACCCGCAAUGUGAGUGUGUCUAAAGCAUGUCUCUCUUCCACUGAUGGCACUAUUCACAGAAUGAAACCUCUUUCUGACGAAGACUCACAAAUACUCUUCCAUAAAAGAAUAUUUCAAAGCAAGGAGAAAUGUCCAGAAGAUCUGCAGAUAGUAUCAAGAGAUAUCUUGAAGAAAUGUGGUGGUGUACCAUUAGCCAUCAUUACAAUAGCUAGCCUCCUCGUUAGUAAUCAGCGGGUAAAGCCAAACCAUGAUUGGAUGGAUGUGUACAAUUCGAUGGGCCAUGGAGUUACACAAAGUGAUAUUGCGAAGGAUAUGAAUAGGAUAUUGUCACUCAGCUAUUAUGAUUUGCCAUCCUAUCUGAAGCCUUGUUUAUUAUAUCUAAGCAUCUUUCCUGAAGACUUUGAGAUUGAGAGAGAUUGGCUGAUAUGGAGAUGGCUUGCUGAAGGGUUUAUCCAAUGUGACAAAGAAGAAACCAGCCUAUUUGAGAUCGGAGAGACCUACUUCAACGAGCUCAUGAACAGGAGCUUGAUCCAGCCAGCAGAAAUCAAUGAGGAAGGCACGGUAGUAACUUGCCGUAUACAUGAUAUGGUGCUUGACCUUGUAUGCUCACUGUCAAGUGAAGAGAAUUUUAUCUCCAUAUUGGAUAAUGAUAACUGGCAUGCACCUAAUAUGCAAAGGAAAUCUCGCAGGCUAUCACUUCAUAAUAUCAAGGCAAAGGUUCAGAACCAUCAGUUUGAUAGCACUAGCCUGUCAAAAGUGAGGACCUUUGCUGUUUUUUCUCCUGUUACUUGUGAUUGGUUGCCAUCUCUCUCAAGCUUUCAAUUUUUGCGUGUGCUGGAUCUUGGAAAUUGUGGCAGCCAUAAAAGUAGCUCUGGUAUCAGCCUCAAGUAUGUUGGGAAUUUAAUUCACCUAAGGUACCUUGGGCUAAGGAAUGCAGAUGUUGAUGAACUCCCAACGGACAUAGGCAAAUUGCAGCUUUUGCAGACACUGGAUGUAAGAGGCACUGGUAUAGAAGAAUUACCUGCAAGUGUUGUUCAGCUCACAAAUUUGAUAUGCCUAUCUGUCAAUUAUUGGGUGAUGCUGCCAAAAGGAAUGGGGAGCUUGAUGUCCCUUGAAGUGCUGCAACUAGUAGACUUAUCCUUGUCUCCUCACAUUGCGGAAGAGCUGAGCCAUCUGACAGAGGUUAGGACACUCGAUGUUGACUGUUAUAACAUGGACGAGGAUCUGAUUGAUAUAUUAAUCAAGUCUCUAGGCAAGUUGCACAAAUUGCAAAAUCUGCGUAUUGAUUUUGGUGUCAGAUUGAUAGAUCGCAUGCGUGAAAGCUGGGUGCCCCCUCCAAACCUCCGUAGUAGCAUCUUUUCUCCUGUGUGGUUCUCGCGACUUCCAAAGUGGGUUAAUUCGAGUUCGCUUCCCCACCUCUUCACCCUGGAAAUAGAAGUUGAAGAAUUGCAAGGGGAUGACAUUCAGAUCAUUGGGAUGCUGCCUGCUCUUCGGUUUCUGCGGCUGCGUGCAAGACGCGUGAUUGGAAGGUUGGUUGUGAGGGCCGAUGCAUUCCCAUCUGCGAGAUGCUCCAUGUUCUGGGGGUUUCUGACGGCGCCGUGCCUUUUCCCACCUGGAGCUAUGCCAAGGGUUCAACACCUUGGGUUCGAGGUCUCUGCACGAUCGAUCGCAAGUCGUGAGGUUGACUGCGGCAUGGGCCACCUCCCUUCUCUCGAGCAUGUCAAGGUUUAUCUGAAGCGUGAGAAUUCCAGCGAUGAAGAGAUGGAGACAGCCAAGGCUUGGCUGAGGCGCGCAGCACAAGCCCAUCCAAAAUGUCCGACCAUUCAAAUCUAUGGUCAGUGACGUGCCUCUGCCGCCGGUAAGGUACGGUCUGCUCAUCUGAGCAGCCAUGAAUCCUCUUUCCCUGAAUACGCUCAUUGCCACAUUGUUUGAUUUAUCCCUCUUACUUCCCCAAUUUCAGGGCUUCAACAAAAUCCUGGAUAUGCAGGUACUAGUAAUUCCAUCAGUUGCCGUGGAUGCUGUUCCAACAUUUCAACACGCAACAAACAAUUCACUGUACCGCCACAACUCCCAAUAAACGACAGAGGCUUCCGCAUGAUUGUUCAUGAUGAACUAUUUAUUUCUCCUGCGUUUGUUUUCAGAAACGCAGCACCUCCUUUCCUUUAUUAUUCAGUCAAGACUCGUACAAUAAGAGGCUACAUUCAGUUGGCACUAUUUGUAGAACUACUGCCUCUACGUGCAUUUGAUUGUUCACAUACAGCAUCGUUUUGUUUUUACUGGCUUAUUAAUUAAGAGUUGAUUGAACUUAGUCAGCCUUGUUUUGCUUUGUUUGGCACUUGCUUAUUCAGUCAAUGAAAGGCAGUUGCUCCAGAUUUGCUUCAUCCUGUUCGUUAAGCUUUCUCUUCUUGCUGCAACUCCUGCUAUCAAGCUCGUGAGAGAUAGAGCCACAAACGCUUAGAUGUUUAUAGCGAUGGUGCAUACCAUACCACUCACUAUUGAUCUUCAUGCCUCAAGGUUACAUACACAAGUGCAAAACUGAUGGCUACAUUAAACAUAAGAAAAUUUAUAGCAUUUUGUAUGAAAAAGAAAAACCCACAACAACCAACCGCCGCCCACUUGCUCCUGUUCCGCAUAAUUGGAACAUAUUUUCUUUCUAGUAGAUUAUCAAUUGGACUAACGAAAUCAAUUCAAUGGUAGAUUGUCAAUUGGACUAGCAAAAUUGAUUAUCUGCAACUGACAGCCAAUCUAAUGGUAUGAUUGAGUGAGCCGAGUAGUGGGUUGCUAACAGGAUUCCCCAUGCUGGAAAUCUACAGAGAAAUAGACAACCAAAUCCUCUCCAAGGAAUGAGAUUGAGAACUGCUCCAGACUGCUUUCGCUUCCUCGUAUAUUCUUUAAGCAGAAGGAAAAAAAUCCACAUAAAACAACAAACACAAGCACAAGAAUCCAUAUGCUACGCGGAAAUUUGACCACCACAGCUCUUGUCAUCUAAUAUUGUUGAGAGUUUCAUACUAAUAUUGUUGAGAGAUUCUGCUGGAAAUAACUGCUGCAUAACUACUGACUAAAACAUAAGAAAUCUACAGCAAUGCUGUAUUGCAAAAACCUUGGCGCCCACAGCAGCCAACCAUAUAACUCGCCUGCUUUCCCUCUCUCGGCUUUUCAUUAGGCACAUCCCAGAUACUUAUUUUUUGUGACGUAAUACAUAUUUCAAUCAAACUGGUGAUCUAGAAAUGCACAAGAGCCUUGUAAACCCAGAGAAUAGGGUGACAACUCUUAAAUAGGGCUACAACUUCAAACAGCAACCACUAAAUCACGGUCAGUCCGCAUUCAAACACAAUAUUCCAAUCAGUCAGUCGGAGUUCAUUAACCAGGACAACAUUACAUAAUCCAUAAUCCACCACAAUGUAAAAAUCUCAUGACGGCCACAGAAAUUAGGCAGCCAUCGUUCACGGACUAUCGCAUCUUACGGAAAAUGCUGAAACAUCUUCAAGCAGAAGGGGAAAAAAUCCACAUAAAACAACAUACACAAGCACAAGAAUCCAUAGGCUACACGGAAAUUUGACCACCACAGCUCUUGUCAUCUACCCUUAACACGCCAUCUCCUUUUGAUUCUCUGGGUGAGGCAAUUAUUUACAGCUAGCGACAUUUUAUGGCGGCAGGAGGACCGAAAACUUUCCAUAUGAAUGAAGCCGAUCAAAGGAACUCCACCUACUGGUAAUCAGGGUUGAACGCGAUGCCCUCUUG
rnacentral:lncRNA from 1 species